rnacentral:lncRNA from 1 species
UUUUUUUUUAGUAGAAGUCCUAUUUGCAAAACUACUAGUGAGCUUAACAUAACAGAUACACACUUUUGCAUUAGCACAUCGACCGGAUGGGGUUUUCGCAGGUAUCAAUCUGAUGGCACAUACCUUUGGGGACUGGGAAGACUUGAGUGGCCCGAACAGCAUGGGGUUUUUACUGCCAACAGCCACCAAAUCAGAAGAACGAACUGAAUCAGGAAUAAACUCAAUCGAAACGCAGAUUCCUCGAGCAUCAGAGCAUACUCACUCAUAGAUGGUCUUCUUAAACGUCCUGAACCCAGCCCUCAACCUCUCCGCGGAGCCCAACCCCUGCAGAGCACGCAGCAGCAGCCGUCAGCCGUCGCGCCACAAGGGGAAAGGGAAACAGCACAAUGCCGGCGCGCGACAAGAGAAUCGCAUCGCUCGGGGACUGGCCUCGCUGUAGGUGACCAUCUGGGCCGGGUGGUGGUGGCCGGCAGCGCUCGAUCCGCCCCCGAUGAGCGGCUCGCGGGCCGGGCUCAACGGGUUCUCCCGAGGCGGCUUGUGGGCGAGGAAGCAGCAGCAGCAUCCCCCCAUCGCCGAUCGCCCCCGCGAGCCGCUCGAGGAGGGAGAGAUCGGUGGAGAGGUGGGCGCCCGUAGCUCGUUGCCUCGGUCCUGACUCCUGAUUUUGCCCGCGGGCCGCAGGGGAAGGGGAAGAGGGUUUUGCAGUUUCGCUCGGGAUGAAACCGAACUUCGGCAGGCUUGGACUCUCGGGUGUUAUCCUGCUCGCCUCAAUUUGGAAAUCAUUAGCCCGAGAGGAUUGAUUUAGGUUCCGUUGGAUUUGAACUGCGAAAGCACAGAAUGGUGAAAGAGAUUCAGAGUUCAGCUCAGGAUCAUCGCGUGGGCCCCGCCGCUGCUUUAAAUCGGGGCAACGAGACGGCCAGAUUUUAGGUUGGCCGUUGUCUCGUGGCUCGUGGUUGGCUCGGGUUCACCGGUUCACCACCAUGUGAGGAGCUAAUGACAGUUGAGAAGGAUUUCCUUUAAAGUUCAAAACCGAUAAAGUAAAAAAAUUAAAUUCAUCCUAUUUCUAGUUUAUUUUAAUCUAACUUUACAAAACGAUUUCACACUUAGUAUCUCGAUUUGCGCAAAACAGAUGAAGUCGAAACUAAAAUAAACCUCCAAAAGAUAUCUUCCCUUUUCCAUUAUUAUUUCUCAGGUUUGGAUAGACCCUGUAAACUAUAAUCAAUACUCUUUCCGCUUCAAAUUAUAGAUCGUUUUGGUUUUUCUAGAUAUAUAAUUUUCCUUAUGUAUCUGAACAUAGCAUAUAUCUAGAUGCACAUAAAUAUCAAAUAUCAUAUAUCUAGAAAAGUCAAAACAAUCUAUCACUUUUUAGAGUUGCUCUAAGUCAAACUAUUUUAAAUUUAAUCAAUUUUAUAUAGAAAACAACUUGAUGAUAAUCUAUGAACCAAAUAAUACACUACGAAAUAUAUAUUUAAGGGGCAUUUUGUAAUAGACUAAUAAUACUAAUUUGGUGUUAUAAAUAGUAGUGCUCUUUUGCGUAAGUUUGAUCAGGCUUGAAAUAGUUUGACUUAAGAGAACUCUAUAAAUUGAUUUAUUCUUUAUGGAGGGAGUACUUCUUUUCAACUAUAAAUAAGAGGAGAAAACCAGGCAAUGCUGCAGCUCAUCACUGGCCAAGCCAACAAGUGCAGAGUGUGCCCUAACCUGCGUGUUGACUUUCUAGCGGGACUUAAAACCAUCUUCUUCGUUGGCAGAAAGCCUUUCAUUCAGCAACACACAUUUACACAGUCACAGGUUUGCAGGGAUAAUAUACACAAGAAUGCUAGGUAGUUGGCCUUAAUCAAUUUUUUUUCAUAAUAAUAACUUGUAGGAAUAGUUGACAACUCAGGGGGCAAACAGGCUUUGCCUUUCACUUUCGUUUUUAACUUUUUUCCAGAUUUUCUAUAUAUGUUUGAUGUUGUUUAAUUUUCAGUGUUCUUCAAACGAAUAAACCAACAGUAAGAUACUUCUAUAGGGCAAAUGACAUUCAAUACAGCAGGAUUGCAAUGUGGGCAGCUAGCACAUCCAGAGGAAACAGGCGACAUAACUACUACUAAGCCCAAGAACACGUCAUGACAGAAAAAAAACCCAAUUAUGCUCUUAACUUCAUGCGGCCCACUUUCAAUGUUUUGUCUUAAUUAUGAAAAAAUAACACGCCAUGACACGUCUUUUCCUUCAGAGGACGAGUUAUAUACGCCAUGACACAUCAUGGAGAGCAGCAAAAGGUAGCAUAAGAAGGUAAACUCUUUCUCUCUUCAUGAUAAUAUGAAUGAAAAGAUCAUUACAGCUGAUGUGUUUUGACCACACGUCGAUCAAACUAUGCAUCAUACAUACAUUAAAAAAGAAGAAGAAAGAACUCCGCGACAGAAAAUUGUAUUGCUUAUUACAGUUCACAAAGAGCAAUCCGGUAUGUGUGUAUAGGGGCAAAUUAGUAGUACUGCUCCACGCAGUCAGAUGUAUCGAUCGGGAGCAUAUAUGUUGUAGCCGUACAUGAUUAACAGCUAGCCUGGUUGGCCGCUCAUGGAUCCCAUGUCUCGAACUUGCCGGAGACGAAGUCGUAGUGGCCGCCGACCAGCUUGAGUGUCCCCUUCUCCAGCCCUUCCUUGACGAACGGGUAGGUCUUGAGGUUCUCGAGGGACACGUUCACGGCCUCCUGCAAGGUAAAGUGUUCAGAGGUCCAACAACAGCCACGCACUCCAUGAGCAAAUCGUUUUCCCGUUGGAGCUCGUCUCCAAGAUGAUGAUCCAGACAGAGGUCUUUUAAUUUCAGAGCAUACCUUUUCCAAGGCGGAGCAUUGGUCUUCGAAGGGGGCCGAGGCGUGGUCGGCCUGCACCUUCGUCUUCGCGGGGCCGCCGAUCCUGACCCAUUCCUCGACGAAGUGGCUGGACAGGGGAUCAAACAGUAAGUAGUGAUGCAAGAUACAGCAAACCAGUUUCAAGUUCUCAACACCGUCGUCAGUUGUCUGAGUCUUCCACACGGAUGCUUACAACUUGUCGGGCUCGCCGUCCUUGAGCGAGAGGAGCGCCUUGAUCCCGCCGCAGCGGCUGUGGCCGAUGACCACGAUGACCUCCACCUUGAGGGCGCAGACGGCGUACUCGAUAGCGGACCCGACGCCGGCGUACCGGGUCUGCAAGCAGAACGUGCGUGAGCGGUCGAGCCGACGACGAUGCCUGCCAGCGGCGGCGACAUGCUGCGAGAACUACCAGGCGCGCGUACCUUGUCGUAGGGUGGGACCAUGCUGGCGAUGUUGCGGACGGAGAAGGCCUCGCCGGGCUGCAGGCCCAGGGUCACCGACGGGCACACGCGGGAGUCGGAGCAGGCGAACACCAGGUACUGCACACAACCAUGAAUGGCAGCGAACAGUCAGCAGCCGGGUUACCGAUCCUCUGACCCUGACGGCCAUUGCUCUCCCUAGCUGGCUAGUAGCUCCUACUUCCUAUCAAGGGUUAAGCCCAAGACGGGGGAUAGGAACAGUAACAUGAGGCUCCUUUCAGAAAUAAAAAGUAACAUGAGGCCGGCCUACUUUAUUUGCGAGUGACGACAAGGUGGACCGUGGCUAGAAAAAUGUAUGGAAUCUUUAGUUCGAGGCUUCGGGCAACUAGCAGGAUUCGACAUUUCCGACUACAUAUACUUUAGAGUCCCCAUCAAACUCUGUUUUUUGAAGAGUCCCAUCGAACUCUGUUUCUUUGAAGAGUCCCAUCAAACUAUGUUGUUAUUUUACAUAAAGAUUGGGAUUAGUUUAGGCCAAAAUUUUCAUACUUUGACCCUUAAUCUUCCUUAAAAAAACUAUAUAAAUCAACUAUGUAAAACUGAUGUUACUAAGUCCACCAUGAAAAAUAUUUCAAUAAAUGUAACUCUUCAAAUAAUAUAUCUCCAUGGAUAUAGCUUGCCAAAGUAAGGUAAUGAAAGAUCGUGUGUCAAAACCAGGCGAGCCACAGAUAUGCAGAUUUCUAAUAAAGAGUUACGUGUGGACCAUAUCAUAUUUAAUUUCUUUCUAAUAUCUUUUUUUUCUGGAUGAUGGUCUAUCUUCUAAUAUCUAUAGAUGAUGUAUAUCUGCCGUUCUUAGCUUCUUGUAGCUGCUGAUAGCCAUUUCUGAACAUCUUUUUUAUUCUGGCGCACGUAUUACUCAUUUGGUCAACUUCUACCGCUUCUUUUUUUUCCCUCAUUUGGUCAACUUUGACCUCGAUCAAAUGCUGCGUGCACACAUUCGCAGGCGGCGUUGGACGCGGAUAGGGGGGGCCGCUAGAUCAACGGCAGGGUUGGUGGCAAAUGGGGACCCGUGAUUCCCGAUGUGCUAUCUAGUACGGGAAAACGGUUGUGUUGCCGGCCGGAUCCCCUCAGGAUAUUCCGAAUUUACUAUGAACGCAGAAACUGGCCGCUACGAGCUUCGAAAAUUUUGGUGGUGAACAAGAAUGCAAGAUAUAUUUCUUUACUCCAUUCUACAGUGCAUACCUUGGGGGACUGGUGGGCCUUGAGCGGCUCGAACGUCUCCGGCUUCUUGCUGCCGAUCGACAGGGAGACGGGUCGUCAAAGAGUCAAUUCACUUCACAUCGAGCAGGAGGCUUGGGAGAAUAGAGAGUAGCUUGGAUCACUUACUCGUAGACAUCGGCCUUGAACUGCUCGAACCCGGUCUUCAAGCGCUCGACGGCGUCCGCCAUGGCCUCCUGCAAGAGCCACAGAUCAUGUCGUCAACACAGCUGUGCCGUCCGUCCACAACAAGAUCACCAGAUGCGUCAUGCAGAUUUCUCGGGGUGGGGGGGGGGGGGGGAGUCAUGCGAAUUGCGAGCGACGAGUCUAGAAAGGGAAAGAAGAUGGGUUGAAGCAUGGAGGAUGGAGGAGGAGGGGGCUGACCUUUGGGCUGCAGAGGAGAGCAGGUGGUGAACUGUGGAAGGAUUGACGAAGACUGUGGAAGGCUUUGCUUCGCUGUAGAGCUGCCCCGUCCAUGCCUCCCCGGGGGACCUUUUUUAUAGGAGGGGGGAGGCACGGGAAGCAGCGGCUCGCCUUCUUUUCCUGCCCCCCCGGUCGUGCAGCUGGACGGAUGGACGCGGGGAACGGCGAACCGGUCCAGCACGAGACGUGUCAUCGUGCGGGACGGGGUACACCACUAACCCACCGAGCUUCCAAAGGUCCAUCCUGCAGGCCGCCUUCGCCUUGACCUCCGGCUGGCCGCGGCCGGGCAGGCGUGGCGCCGGGCUUGGGGUGCCGUCCUUCCCCGGGGAAACGAGGAGGACGAUGGAGAGGCUGGAGCCGGAUGGGCUGAACGCCGCGGUGGACACGGCUCACGACGCGUGGCGCCCUGCCGGUUUAGCGGAGCCGGAGAAAACGAGGGGGCGCGGUGUGAAGACCCAAGAGGUAAAUACUUAAUUUUAUUUAUUAACUAAUCCACUAAUUAGUAAUUUUGAAGAACAUAAGUAUUAAAAAUCCAUGAGAGAAAUUGGAUCUCGUAACUGAUCAUCAAAUUACCUCACCCCCUUCUCAUUUCUCAAAUAUUCUAGCACAUAUAUAUAGAUAUAUAUUUAUCUUUAUCCAUUAUAGAAUUUAGUUAGAAAUUAAUCUAUGCACUCUUCAUCGUCGUUGAUAGUUUUCUUUUUGCAUGGCAUCUGCAUCUGGGUUUGACAUUUUUCUAACUAAAUUCUUAGUUUGGGCUAUGUGUUUAACAUGGAAAUUGGUGCUAUCAUAGCUUCCUGCAUAUACAGGGGUGGAUCCGACCCACUUGGUGCUGUUACUUGAUAGCAAUGGAUUUUUAAAAUCCAAGGCUAAAGUUAUCUUGAUAUUAGAGAAAAUCAUAUCGUAAAUUUGACACUAGUGACAUCAAUGGUUCUCUAUUCUAGAUUACCGCCUAUGUAGAUAUGUAUACAUGGUCUAAACCGUAAGUUAGUAUCUUUAUAACAGAAAUAAAUAAUUUAGAAUUUUUUAUUGGUGUGCACUGGGAUACUUUUUUAUAAUGAUAGAUGCAGUUAAUCAAGAAGCCAAUUUAGGGAUUAUUUUCAAUUGUUUUUAGUAAUAGCACAUAUGGAUAAUUUAUAUAUAUAGAUUUAGGAUGUUACUUUAUUAGAUGAUUUUUAUACUAAAAUGGCAGCGACGGGCUACUUUUUAUGCAUGUCCAUGAAGCAUACAACCAAGAAAAUGUUGUAAUGAAACUGAGAUCUUAGUAAACCUUGUGCUUUUCACGAGCAUACAACCUUGCAAUUUCUCAUAUUAAUACUAAGGUACAUAUCUGUCUGGUGUAUACGAGAGGGGGGAAAAAAAGAAUGUGCAACCAAAGCAGAGACAAAAAGAACAUGAGCAACCAUUUAGAGAUCUACUGGAAGGAACAGAGAGCAAGCAACCAAACUUUACUUCUGGUUUAAAGCGUGUGAUCAAUGUGGAUUAUUACUGUUGAUUUUUCUAGCUUAUUAGCAUGCACUGUAGCACGCAAAAGCACAUAGGCAUAAAGACCCCCCCCCCCCUCUGUUGAGUGCAAGAUUUUCAGAAAGUUUAGGGGUCAACUUUCUUAAUCUUUUUUUGUGAAGACAGCUUUGUAGUACAAAAUCAUUCAUGUCUCACAUAAAAAUGGUAGCACCAGCAUUUCAGGGAGAGAGAGAGAGAGAGAAGGGGCAUCAAGAUGUAGUAGAAAGGUAAAGUAUGCAUGAUAGUAUUAUGAAAAAGGCUUAUACAGCUGAUGUCUCUUGACCACAAAAGCGGUCUAAUUACGCACCAUAUAUAUUACAUAUAAGCUCCACCUUAGAAAUUAAAGCAGUAGAAGCUGCUAUUGCUUAUUACAUUCACAGAUAGGACGAUCCGGUUUGUAGCUGUCGAAAUAGGAGGUAAGUCCUCCACGCGUUGACAUCGACCGGGUGCAUAUACGUCGGUAUGUAUGUAUCUGAUGUAGUAGGAGUUUGCGGCCUAUUUCUCCCAUGUGUCGAAGAUUCCGUUCACGAAGUCGUAGCGGGCACCGACCAGCUUGAGGGUCCCGUUGGCCACGCCUUCCUUGACCCAGGGGUAGGUCAAGAGGUUCAAAAGGGACACGUUCACGGCCUCCUGCAGAAACAUUCAGAAAUGCAGGAUCCUCUCAUGAGCAAACCAAUUCGAUCUUUAUGAAAUCACGCGCGUAUGGGCAGCGGGUAACCAAAGAUCGCCAUGGCAACCAGGUCGUAGCCCGUGCGUACCUUCUCCAAGAUGGAGCACUGGUCAUCAAACGGAACCGUGGGGUGCUGGCUCAGCACCUUCUUCUUGGCCAGGAAGCCGAUCCUGACCCAGUCCUCGACGAAGUGGCUGGGCGCGUCGCCAAACAAACAAAGAACAUCCUCGAGUCAGAGACAUGAUGCUGCAGGGGUAGCAGGCUCCUCCCAUCUAAAACUUUGUUCCACCGUGACUUACAAGGUGUCGGGUGCGCCGUCCUGGAGGGAGAGGAGCGCCUUGAUGCCACCACAGCGGCUGUGGCCAAUCACGGUGAGGACCUCCACCUUGAGGGCGCAGACGGCGUACUCGAUGGCGGACCCAAUACCGGUGUACUUGUUCUGCAGUUCACGAAGCAAAAGCAACCGAGUCAGCGGUCAACACCCCACCAGCAAAGAAAGAUCACCGGCCAUGCGCCAGGCCAGCCGGUACGCGUACCUUGUCAUAGGGCGGGACCAUCGCGGCGAUGUUGCGGACGGUGAAGGCCUCGCCGGGCUGCAGGCCCAGGGUCACCGACGGGCAGCAGCGGGAGUCGGAGCAGGCGAACACCAUGUACUGCAGCACAUAGCAUGAGCGAAAAAAGGGGGAAAUCAGAAUCAUCAACAAAAAUGGGGAAAAAUCUGUGUCAGGUCAGCGAUAAGAGCACGCGAGCAUUUCGCGCCCCCACCACACGGCUCUUAUCGAUAAGCAGGUAGGCAGAUCGGCGCUGAUCGGUGGAGUGCAGGAUUCGGGUGGCCCUUGUGGAUGUGCGUGCAAGCGAGUACCCCCGCCGCUCGAAAAAGGCUGCCACUUUUGACCCGCCUCUGCCCGUCUCUGUUCCGAUCCACUUUCUACCACCGGAGCCGCCGCUCCGUUGGCGAGGAAGCCAAGCUGCAGGAAGGUUCCCCGCUGGGAGCGGCAAGGAUACUCUGCGCGGGCUUUGCUGUGGCCCCAUGGGUGGCGACCAACGGGCAACAAACACUAGCGUUGCCAUUACCGGCAGGCAAGGACGUAAUAUUUCUGGACGCAAAGGCGAGACCCGUAUGCACGAACCCAGAAGGAUUCUGAGGGAAAAGCCGAGAGCCAAACUGCCAAAUCCGGCAUCCGCACUGCCGAUUAAGCUUGGUGACAAGAGCAGCAGGAGGAGGCUAGCUAAUGGGCUACUAUAGUGCGCGAGGAUCAUGGAUCACUUUGUUCCCAUUACGACAGCAAUCGGCAUGGACGGCCGGCCGGACACCAGGGUAUGUAGGAAAGGGAACCUUGUUCCGGCUUGCAUAAGCUCACGCUGGAGGCCAGGACUUGGAAAAGGGGCUCGAGGCUAAAAGGCGAUUACGACGCGUAGCGUGAUGCAAUCACCUUCAGCGACGGCAUACACUACGUUGAUAGUAUGAGCAUAUCUCCAGGAUCAGCAUGCAUGGCCAGGGAGAUAAGGAUGCGAGUAGACAAUGUUCUGAACGCUAAAGCAACAGGCCCCGUCCAACACUUAUGUGGCUAACUUUUGCACGGGCCUGGCUGGGAGGAGAGGACAGAGGACACGUCCAAACCAACUACCACCCCUAGCUAGCUACGCUGAUUGUGCCGGUGAAGGAAGAAUUCCGUGAGGGACCAUUGUUCAACAGGACCGGUUGAUGCAUGGUAGGGCCUUGUGCCCAGUCAUGGCUGGACCACACGUCCAGCCGUGGAAUGAUGGCAUGCUGGUUGGUGAUACACGCCUCGCUACCCCUUUUGGUGUAUAUGGUAUGUAUGUGCAGCGUUCAAAUGUAAUGAUGAUGGACCGGACCAUGGAGAGAUGCAGGAAAUUCUUUGGGAUUCAACACGGCUUAGGUGGUGGUAACUCUUUGUUUUCCACGGACCGAUUAAGCAGCCAAGCUAGACCACCCUUUUCUUUUCAAGGAAAAUCAGCAGACUACUUGCUUGUGCCUGGAACCAGCCAACUACAGCACGCUGCAUGGAGUGAAUCGGCGCAUGGGAUCGAUGCCAGCCUGGAACCCCCCAGAAAGAAAACAAUAAAACUCUGUACUUGCGAGAUUCUGCCACCAGGUAAAUACCUAGGAACGGGAAGGAAGUAGGAUUAUAUAUCUCUAUACACACACACACACACACACACACACACAAUAUCCACCACCCCAGCUAGCCAGAAAAGUGAGCGUAUAUAGGGACGGCGACAUCUCAACAGUUCACACGCAGGCCAAAACGCCCCAACCGCCAACAUGGCUCGCACAUGGGAAUGCACUCGCGCCGCGCAUGUUCGUGGCCGGGGGGAGCUCGUAUCCACUAGCGAUUUCUCUGCACAGUUUCGGCUUCAGAUUUCCCCAGCUGACUGAUCACGGGCCAACUGGCCGCUAAUGGCGACAAGCUGUCCCCAUCAGUCUUAAGCCACGCAAUCAAGGACAAGCUGCGUGCUCCCCUUUGUCUACCACGACCUCUUUGACCUCGGCCCCGGCGCAAAUGCCUGCACCCAGGGAUGCCAAAUGAAACAGUAACGGAAUGGCAGGGGCAGCACAGCAGCAGGUGCCAACGGGAAUGCAGGGAUCCUGGUGAUGAACACGACGAGCUAGCUGGUACCAGCAGCGACACUGUUCUGGCUUGGCUUCUACUACCUGGACGGAUGGGGAACCGCCGGCAAGUACCACCAAAUCUGUGGACCAGCAACGUCAGGCGUUGCCCGGACCCCCACGGAAACCCCGAGCUCCUGAACGCGGUUUGCCUAAAUUAAGCUUCCCAGCAUUUGUGCCGAGGAGCCGGGCGGGCGGACGGCCGGAGUGGAUGCAGACAAAAAUCUUAGCAGUCUAGUACAAGGGUGAUGGGACGGGAUUGGAUAGGAGGAGAACAUACCUUGGGGGCCUGGCCGGCCUUGAGCGGCUCGAACAGCUCCGGCUUCUUGCUGCAGAGAGGGAAUUCACACGGGCACAGGGUUAGUUGGAGCUCCCGAGAAAAAAAAAAUCCCCAAAGAAAUCAAGCGCCAUGGAAGCUGGAAUCGAGCGCCGGCGGGUGCUGCAUCGAGUGGAGCGGACGACUUACUCAUAGACCUCGGUCUUGAACUUCUCGAACCCGCUCUUCAAGCGCUCGACGGGGUCCAUGCCCUGCAACAGCGAGAAAGACCAACCACAAACCGUCAGCUCGCCGUCCCCAGAAAGGACCAAAUUGUGUGCUCUUGAUGCAGCAUGAGAGACAGAGUGGGCAGGGGACAAGAGCUUGCCGCAAGAAAGCAUGCACAAAGGUGAUCUGAAGGGGAUGCAGGGAUCUGCUUUGCUACUGAGCGAUGGGGGCAGGGGACGAAAGGAAGACGGACGGACGGACGGACGGGUGGACGGAGAUUACUGUGGGAGGAAGAAGGAAGGAGGGAGGGAGGGAGGGAGGGAGGGGGGGAACGGACCUUGGAGGGAGGAUGUGGAGAGUGGGUGGGCUUCUUGUUCUGGAGGACCGCGGAGGAGACGGCCUCCUUCUUUUUAUAGCAGGGGAGGCAAAGGCACCCGCUCAUCUUCGAACGCGCGGCUUGGAUGCUACUAGAGUAGGAGUACUUCGCUUCUCUCUCGUCUGACUUUUGAGCUUCUCGUUCGGCGGUUUACUAGCAACAUGACACGUGGAAUAAUGGCGUGAGAGAGAGAAGGAGAAAAUCAAUACACGUAGUAGUAAUGGGUGAGUGCGGUUUCUGUGGACGGGAUAACACCCCAGUAGUUGCUAAAAUUUUCGUCAUCCAUUUUUCAGGCACCCGUGAGAUGUAGUAUUGGCCGAGAACGUGUGCGGUUAGCUCUGCUAUUUUGAGUUCAGCCGGUUAAACCCGGUGCUCUUUUUAUUUGAAUGGUAAACCAGGUGCUCUUGAAGGAGAAGAAAAAAAGAAGUCCAUUGGUACACGGAAAAGUUCAGACAGCCCGAAGCGUAGCUCAGAAGAUGAGGCCAGAAGUAAACGGGUCGGCGUAAGCUGCUGAGGCGAAGGCUGGAAGGACCAACUUACCGUGACCAUGACACUAUUACUGACGAUGCGCGAGGCACCGCCGGGUACGGACAGCGAGAGCACAAGUGGCCGGCCCGGCCAUCUGCCGCCGGCCAGGUUGCUUGCGCCUUUCCUUUUUGCUGCUCCCUGCCUCCCGAGUCCCCACCCCCCCGAUCGAGAAACGUUUCCCCAGGGGGUUAUUCCCAGAUCCAAGGAAUCUCGAUGCCCACUCGUCCAGAUCUGGUCUGCCCACAGGGCUGCUGUUCUCUACUUCCCCAAUCCCCAUGGGUUCUAAACUUCUACCAGAGGUCGUCCUUCUAGCUCGUGGCAAUGGGAACCCACCGCCGGACGACGGGGGCGGCCACCAAUGGCACGGCCGGCCUCGCGAUCCAACCUUCCUUAUCGGCGCGCCUAAACUACUCCCUUCGCAACCGCCGGGGCCACAGACCCGGCCAGCGCCUCACCUCCUAAAUUAUUGGAGGCUCCUGCGGUCGAGCUCAGCUCAUCGAGAGCUUGUCCCCCUGAUGCCCCCUCCUAACCAUCCAACCCAAGCGACCUCUCCUCUUAUUGGGGGCUCCUUUUACUGUUUGUACUUCCCGCAAAUCUAGUGCGUAUCUAAUGGCAGCUACAGGUUUCUGCACCGCACCACCGGCCAGAGCCAGAGAGUCAUGGUGCGUGCGAUCGAUGUCAACGCUGUCCGCAUCGCAUCGCAUCGCAUCAGCGUGGUGACGUGGUAGCAACGAAAAUCUAGCUAGACUCCUCGUACUGCUAGCCAGCGCUGACAAGUCUGGCUACCAGUUCACCACAGAGCGAGAACCACAACUUUUUUCCCCUGGUUCCAUAUGUACUUAUUAAAGUUGUUUUUUUUUGGAAGUUGCAAGUAGCUAGUAAUCUCGUGCUAGUUCGUUCGUUGCUCUGGCCAAAAAAAAAAAAAACUCAACGGUGAGCAAAAGCAAAAGGCGGGAAUUCAUCGGCGUUAAAGGGAAAAGGCUGACGUUGAUGGGGGCUUAACCGACUGAUGGUCGGUUAUUGGAUUACUGGAUGCGUUAUGGACCAAACGGAACUGAAAAGCCAGGAGACGGAUGCGGGGCUAGCUAGCUCUUGACACCUUCUAAUCUGUGCGGUAGCUAUCAUGCAAGGAGAGUCCAUGGCGACCCUACUCCACCUUAUCGCUUGUUUUAUAAUUAGGUGGAAAAAGGCCGAGCCACGCUCGACGUCGCUAAGCAAGUGUACUUGGAACUUUUGGGGAAUUCUAAUCUAUCCUAUCGAUCGAAAGCAUCUGCUAGUUGCUGCCUUUAAACUGGCACUAUCAUUGGCCACCUCUUUGGAAGCCCCUCCCUCCACGAAUAUUCUAUGGCAGGUGGUUGACAUGCAUGUUGCUAGUACUAAUAACAGAUGGAAGAAUGGUUAUUAAAUUACUAGUAGUAUAUACUAUGCAAUGAUUGGUCAUGGUCCAAAAGAAGUGGAGAAGAAGAUGAGGCUAUGGUCUGCCGCAUUUGCGGACUCGGCCUUGGCAUUAGCUCUUGGAGCAGAUUAAGGAACAGUGCGGCGCCUCCAUGUUCUCAGGGGACGCGUAGUUUUUUUUUAAAAAAAAAAUCUAAUGCAUUUGUGGCAAGGUGGUGCAUCAUUAGUUGACCCGACCGUGUUGCGUUGUACCCUUGCGUGGCACUUGGAUUUUGUUUCUUUUUCAGAAACCCCUGGUCAGUACCAGCAGCUACCUCCUAGAUUAUGGGAAGGAAGUUUUUUCUUUUUCUUUUUUUUUUGCUUUUGCGGUGGUGCAUUCCGUUCGUCUUGCCGGAGCCGGAAAUAGCAAGGGCAAGCACAUGUGCCAACUUGUUAGUUACCGAAAAGAGAUGCAUGGAAGCAGUGUGGGUAUCGACAUGCAUGCAUGCAGAGGUAAUAGUACACAAUGUGCUCGGUGCGGUGUGCCAUGCAUGCGUGCGUGCGCACGUACCACGAUGGCGGAGGGGGCGGCGAAGACGGGCGCGCUCAUGAUGAGCCUGGGGCGGGCGGAGGCGGGGAUGCCGGACUUGGACGGCGCGGGGGUGCCGAGGCCGGCGACGAUGCUCGAUGCGGCGGUGGAGGCGCGCACGGCCAAGGUAAGCAUAUGUGGGGGUGCUCCCUUGGUUGGUGCCGCCUCCCUGCGCGCGCCCCCAAGAAAUAGCUGCGCCGCGACCGCGUGCCGACAACAAACCGCCGGACGCGAGCGGCGCCGGCGUGCGGCCCGGCUGGGCCGGUGGAUCCGGGCCACUCGGCGCCUCAUCCGCCAGCAGCGCGCCACCCGGCCUCCCCACCACCCCCUGCCGGGGAUGGAGGGAUAGGACUCGGGUCGGGAUAACGCGCCGCGGCACCGUGUGGCGGACGGGCGCGCGCCCCCGGAUGGCUUGGCACGCCCGCGCCCUGGGCCACACGAGCGCGGCCGGGGGGACGGACGCGAAAACGAAGGGCCCUUCGUUCCGAUGCGCGGCGUCGAGAAACGCCAGCUGCUGCGCGGUCGUGGUGGAUGGGGAUGUGAUUGGAUGCUGCUGCGAGCGGCGAUGGGGGGCGUUGGGCCGGUGUGGGCUGCUGCUGGCGGGGCGCCACGCGUGUGACGGGGGUUCUCUUGGCGCCGGUGACAUAUCCAUCGGAAUUAUGGUGUGGCUGCCCUUCAUUAAUCACCGGGCCGAAAUGGAUGGUUCGGUGGUUAUUAGGUGAUGUCAGGUCAGGGGACUGAGCGCGUGAUCUUGGUUGGAGUGGCAGGCAGCACGUGAUGGGGGUUGAGACACGUCGGCGAAACGUUAGUUGUCUGGUGGAGAACUCAUAAGUUUUUCUUUUAAAAGAAAAGAAGAAGAAGAAGAACAACAACAACAUGUGCACAUCAUUGCUCACCGAGCGAUACUAGCUCUUGGCUUCAGAGACUUGUGUUGAGCUCAGGGCCUGCUGGAGGAUAAUAGUGGCAUAGCUUUCGGCCCAUCGAGCUGGUUGUGCGCGGCAUGAAGCCUGCCACGGCCCAUCCUUGUUCAGUUUGUUUUCCGGCAGCCUGGCCCGAGCUGGAUUUGGGCCCAGGCUCCCAUGCGCCCUGCUGUUCCUGUACAGCAGCAAGAAGGAAAGCAUAUGCCUCCUGGUUAGAUAACUUCGCAGAAUUGCAUGCCUCCUGGUUAGAGAGAGAUCAGCAGCAGUAGGAAAAUGACUGACUUCGGGUUGUCUAAGAGUCACUAAGAAUGUUCAGGAAAUGAUCGGAUGUUCUUAUACUGUGAUUGUGUGCUCGGUAGGCGUGCUUGGACUCUUGGACCUGGCCGUCAUGUUUGGCUUGGUUCUCCUCCGGUAUUCUUGGAUGUAAGCGUUUUCCAACCUUCCGCUCGAGAAAACAGUGGCAAAUUACCUGCCUUUAGAGUUGAGAAGUCUCUUCCUCUGAACAACAUCUGUGGGAGUUUCAAGUCCAGUUCAACUUUGUGGAAAUUUGAACCGGUGAUCUUCGCGUCUGCAUCCAUAGUCCGCAUUCAAUGAUCAGGGCUGCAGCAAGACGGGGUGCAGACGCAUAUGCUGCUGCGCGCUGCGAAAUUUUUUACAGGAAUGCAUACAACAGUGCCACUCUCUUGCUACAGCUACGACUACUGGAGAGAGAGAGAGAGAGAGAGAGAGAGAGAGAGAGAGAGAGAGAGAGAGAGAGAGAGAGAGAGAAGUGAACAGCAUACUAGAAUGAAUCGAAGAGUUGUAAAUUUACCUUUCUCCAUGGCCGCCGUAUCCUCUAUUCCCCCGUCAAAUUCUUGGACUCCGGCCGAGCCAAGCUUCGCGGAUGCGUGGCUAGCUGCUCCAUGCACACGCGGUCGAUCCGAUUACGGUGGCCGCGUGCAGCUAGCCACGAGCCAUGCCGAUGCCGAGUUGAGCACGGAUCGAGCUGAAGCUCCAUCCUGCACCGAGAGCUAGCGCACGGGCCAUUACUUAUGCUGCCUCUGCUGGCGCACGGAGGCGAACCGGCGGCGUGCAAGUACGUGGAAGGGUUGACACUACUAGCUUGGGCCGGCCUGUUCGCAAGCUAAAAGGAUGUGCUCACUUUGGCGACACAAUAGACACCCGGUAGCUUGGUGUGCAGGUCCAGACAGCGCAGGACGAGGACAACAAGACCCGGGAAAAGGGAAACGCUACAAAAUUGGUGUUGUCAUGCGCCUGUAGCUAGCGGUCGAGCAGCAUCAGCUUUGAGUUGGCGCCCAGAUAUCGAAUUAUGAUCUGCUCGUUUCGAAUUCCACUUGUCCAUUUCUUCAUGUACACACGCGCUGUAAAGAUGCCUCGCGGUAUCGUGUUGAUUGAACAGCGUGUCUGCUCGCUAGCAUAAUAGUGUAGGGCUCAAUACUAGUCAUUGGGCCCGUGAUAGACCACCUUGCAGACGUUUCCUUUUGUUCGGGAAAGGAUUCCCGCCUGCUCACUCCACCUUCGCGAAGGGGUUUCUUGUGUCCAUACUCCGGUGAAAAGAUUCCAAGCGCACCGGCGGUCUGACGAUGGAUUGGGACAGGCUUAGCGAGUACAGAAAAAUCGAAUUGUGAAAUUAGUGAAGGGUCCUUAAACGCUUCGGAAGAUAAAUGUCUUCGCUCAUCUCUCAUCUCAUAAAACUCUCGUUCCUCUCCCCUCGUAAUCACCCUGCUAUGUCAAUAAAUUUGGUGAUGUGGCAUAAGAUUUAUUGCCCACAAAACUUCACUGGUCUAGCUGGGACCAAGGUAAGCUGUGGUAGGUCUGAGCGGAAGCGAAGGCUGGCCAGAGCUUCCAUAAAAACUGGGCGAUUUUGGCAAAAAAAAUCAUGGUUUAAUUAACCAGAUUAUAUGCCAUGUUCGGUUGGGUACUAGUCUUUUAUUUCAAACAGACGGAAGAGGAAUCUGGUUCUGUUUAUCCGGCUUGUCCAAAUAACAUAACUAUGCUGGUGAUUUCCCUUUCUUGAAUCUUUUUAUUCUCCUCCCCUUUCCAUUUUUAGAAAGUAUUAAGUAAAAAUUUAUUCACACGGAUUUAGUGGAUAAAUUAUCAUGAUAACUUUUGGAUGAAUAGUUUAGCAGUGUUUCUCAAAAAGAAACUUAUCUGGGAUAACUUUUCAUGUAGAUUUCUUCAAAGCAAAGCUCCGUGGAAAGCUUGCUCAUGCACGUUUGUCAAAAAAAAAUCUUCAGACAAGUUUGCCGAAAAAAAAGCUUCCCUGGAUAAGUUUUGCCGAAAGAAAAGCUUCCCUGGAUAAGUUCUUUAAAAACCUUCUCAAAUUACAAUUUCUAACAACAAAGCUUUCUAGAGGUUUUUGAAAAGUUUUGAGGUGAAGGUCUUCUAAACACUUCAUCUAGAAAAUUUACAGUUGAAGGAAAGGGUGGACAGAAGCAAGAAUAGGCAUAAACUGCGAAAAGGACACUGUCACGCUGAUGUGCAUCAGUCUACAGAAUUUCCACUAAUGUUUCACUUUUGUUUCUCGUGAGUAUAGCCAACGCAGUGAAGGCCUAUAGAAGCCCAAUAUAGUUAAGUUCAACCCCAAGGCGGCCCAAACCAGAUUGAUAAUUGUAGCUUCGGUUUAUAUAAACAGGGCCUGCUCGCGUGCUUCCAGUUUGAAAUGUUCAUGUGACCUAACGUCAACUGCGCAAACAACCGAAACAACGAACGUAAGCAAGAAAUUAAGAAUCCACCGCUGUCACUUCCUGUCCGGCAGUCCUCCACCAACAACCAGCGCUCAGAUUUCAGACUUCAGAGUAGCCUGGGGCGUACGUCUGCUGCGUUAGGUUACGCAGCUCGGGACAAGCAACAAGUUGAAGCAUGUCGUGGAGUGCUCCAUCGCCAAGGAACACAGGAAUGCAGUAGGAGGUAGGCGAAAGCGCACAUGCUCUUUCCCCAGCAGGACAUGGAUAGCAUAGCUAGCUCAAUCGAUUAGAAAGGUCAAGAUGUGGAGAGUCGGAUGCACGAAUUAACUCGCAAAAAUCAAUUGCUGACUUGUGUAUUUUACCCUCAAAGUGGUCCCGUCAGCUAACCACACCAAACACUGAACUUCUGUUAGGUGAGUCCGAAUGGCACCGAGUACGUACGCACGGCACGCACAUGCUGCUCGAGUGAGUUACUGCACCAGAAGGGAACUGGCACGACGACGAGGGAGGGAGGGAUCAUCUCUGAGCUCCGACGCGGCGACGCGGUUGCUGCGUGGUCGGUCCCGGUGUAGAAGCGGGAGACGACGACGUGUUCCGGUAUUCCCCGUCCGCGGCGCUGUCUGUGCGAACGCGUGGAGCACAGGUCCCCGCCGUUGAACGGAUCCGUUUCCGCGAGAUCAACCUGACGCGCGCGAGAGAGGCACUGAACCACUGGAGCUUCUGUCAUCCCCGAUCUCUAGCGAUCCGCCCGUUCACUCUCUGUUGACAAGUUCCGGUAAAUCUGGUGCAGCUAGCGCGCGCCCUUUCCGUCAUUCUGGAGUUCCUACCGGCUAAAGGGGCACGACGAAACCUAACCUGUAUCCGACAGUACCAAACACAAACCCGGGGACCGGCUCUGCAGAGUACUCUGUUAGCAAGUGGGGCUGCGCCGGCAACGCAUUGACGCCCUUGCAGACGGUCGCCCGCCCCCCUCUGCUCCGGGCAAGCUGCGGUCCGCGCGCGGGGGGUCAAGGGAAGAGGGAUGACGACGCUCGCGAUCGGUGAGCCGCGGAUCGUGGGGCGUGUUCUAGAAUCGAUCGAGCGUGGCCGGAUCGCUCUCUCCGGUCUCGCUGGCGCUGCUGCGCUCGGCUCGUCGUUGCGAGAUUGCAGUCGCGUCUGGGGUGUCUGUCGGGAGCACGGAACGAUGCCGGAUCCAGAGUUCCACAGCUCCUGCUACUGAGCUGAAUGCCUGUGCUGCUCUGCUGCGGAUUCGUUGUGACAGCUACCCAGCGUGUGAGUGAUUGGUUCCAUCGACAUGGAGAUGGCUCUGUUUCUCCGUAUUCAUGAUUGGAGGUAUAGUUUCUUUUUUUUUUAUUUUCACGUUGCAUAUAUGUCCCUUUUGAGGUAAUAAAUUUUUGGAAAACGUACUAGUGGUACUGGUACCUAUCGGGCUGGUUAAUGCGAGACGAAAGGUUGUUUUUGCGUCGAGACUCCAGAUUCGGGGAGGAGUGCAAAGAUCUCUCGGAACAUCGGCACCCUCCCUCCCUCCCUCUCUCUCUUGAGGUGCCUGUGGAGAGGCUGUAACAUCUGGGGCUGCCGUGGCAGCAGCGGCGGAAUACGGUUGACCAAGCCUGCAGAAGCCGGCACCCGCAGCCUCUCCGUGCUCCCGUGCGUACGGCAGAACAAAAUUGUACAACGAAAAGGCUGCAAUUUCGCCGCCACCGGUCGACACAUGUAUGGAGUGCGGUGCGUGACUGCGUGCUGCGUAACAAGCUGAGCUUACCUGGAAACCAGCAGCACAAGCACAUCCGCGGUUUGAUUGUUUCAAGGAUGCUGUACGCCGCUCCGCUGCAUGCCUGCAUCUUCUGAUAUUCACGCACGCAGCAUGGCUCGAGGUGACGGAAAUGAUCUCCAAGACAAUUCUCUGUUCAAGCGUGUGAAAGUUUCAGUACAAGGAAUCAGCGCCUCAAGUUCAUACUGCUGCCUGAAAAUUGGUGAAGCUUCAGACAUUUUCGCUUACAGUUGGAUCACUCCUUUUCUUUUGUUUUUUUUUCUUUUUUGAAAAGGGCAUCUGGAUCACGCAUUGGGAUUUGUAGCUCAAUGAUGCGUCUCACCAGUGGGCAGUGGCUAGAAAAUUAGAUGCCACCGAAAGACACAGAAAAUAUAAAAAAUAAUGGUAGAUUGCAAACAAGGAAAGGUGAUUUCCCCGUGAAAUAUACCCACCUACUUCUCUACUACUAUACAUCAUACAUCGUAUGUACAAAGUCACCUAUACAAACAACCGCAUGUAUCCUUUUUUUCUUUCAAUUUCUCCGUAGCAGUAGUACUGGCCUACCACCUUCACAAACCUCAAUCCGAAAGGGAAGGCCCGCAUUUCCCCUGCUUUGUCUGACUUCACGCCCCGUUCUUUUGACUUCGCUUUAAACCCCACACCGCCGCACGUAGCACUAUGCCGGUUUGCAGGGGAUCCUCCAGGUCAAAUGGUCUUAAAUUUCAAUUCCCGAAUUCAGACUUGAAAAUCUCCCUGUUUGGAACGGGUCGCCCACGGCGGUGACGGGUCGGCGCGUCGGUGGGGGCUCAGAACGGGUGCGGGCUCCGGCUGAGCCCGUGCGCGUUGGCGAACAGCCCCAUGAGGUCCUGCCGGUACGGCAGGAACGUGCGCCGCCCGCCGGGGGUCGCCUUGGCGCCGCCGUACGACAUCCGGCGCCCCGCGGCGACCGUGUCGAGCUCGGUGGCGCCGGCGGCCUUGCUUCCUUUGGGCGGCGGUGGCUUCGGCUUGGAGCCGGCGGGGGAGUGCUCCCUGUCCCUGGCCGGGGACGACGGCGCGGAGAGGAAGAGGAACUUGUGCUUGCCGUCGCUGUGGCUGCGGCCGACGACGAGGUCCCCGAUGCGGCGCCACCGCGCGACGGAGCCCGUGGACCCGCUCUUCCGCGGCGGACGCGAGGGCGAGGACGCCGGCGACGACCCGGGCGUCCAGAGGCAGUAGCUGUCGGGCGGCGCGCCGUCGAGAUCCGCGCUACCGUCCGCCGUCGACGCCGAGGACGACGACGAGGUGGAGGAUGUGGACGCGACGGAGGAGGUCCGCGCCUGCUCCAGCUGGAACAGGCGGCCCAGCGGCGCCCUCGGCGCGGCCGGUGCGGCGGCGGCCUCGUCGUCCAGGACCCGGCCGAACACCGGGUAGAACGCGCGGAUGCGGCCGCCCGCGAAGAGCUCGUCCGCCGCCGCCGCGGCGCCCCCGCCCGCCGCCGGCUCCCGGCUCACGGAGGGGAACUCGAACUCGCCGUCGGAGUCCUCGUCGUCGGACGCCAAUGACCCGCCGUGCUCCCUGGGAACUGGAAGCUCCGCGGCCGCGGGCUCGUGGCGGCGGCCACCCGGCGGUCUGCGGUCCUCCAUGCCUCUCAUGUUCCUAUUUCCGCUGCUCGAUCUCUUCGCGACUGAUGGCGGGGUGCGCGCAAAGGGUGGGAAGCAACUGCUAGUUGGUUGGGGAGGUGGCACCGGCGUAUAUAUAGGGGGGAAGCCGGCAGCGGGAGGCGACCUUCUGGAAGGGAAGGCGAUUCGGCUCGGCCCCACGCUACACGUCACUCGUGAUGCACGCGGGGUUCGUUUCUUGCUUGGGGGUGGGGGGGGGGGGGGGGGUUGCCGUUGGUUGCGUUCCGUGUGCGUGUGCUAUGGGUUUACACAUGAUUUUGGGAAAUUCUCGAAGGGGCCCUGGGUCCGGGGGAUUUGCUUGCCGAGGGAGAUCGCGCUUGCUUGCGGGACAAGCAGCUGCUGAUCCGGCCGGCUGAAGAUACGCUAGCGCCGCGGAGCCGGCUGGGUCGAAGAAAGCCCGUGCACACGUGGGCGCUCUGUAAGCUGACGACGGAGCUGUGAUCCAGCUGCGAUGUCAGUAGCGUCCAGUGUGAACAGAAGCAGCGGGGAAAUCUCAUCCACGCACAAAUUCUUCUCGGAUUGAACUGCCUACUAGCCCGCAUGGCCGGUUGUACUUGCGCAUGGCGACACGCGCGGUCCCUUCUGCAAUCACGAACGACGGGGGAGCAAGCACAUGGAAAUUGUGAGACCGCGCCUCUGGUGUAUUCGACACGGGAGACGCCAUGUACUUGAAAUUUUUUGCCACGAGACAGCGUUUUGAGUUCGGCCAUGUGCCACCUGUGAGUGAUGCAGCACGAGCCAGACCAAUCGCCGAGACUACCGCUCGCCAUUGGCAGGGACGGCCCGGGAGGAACCGGCAACUAACCCUGCGCAGGUGUCGUCGCCUCGCGCCGCCGCGGCCAACGGUUCCUUACUUUAUUCACGCGUGUAGCGGCGCGGCGGCGGGUGCCAGGCCACGCCCCCGACGAGGUUCCGUGCGCGCAUCGCAUUGCAGGAGGCAUGAGGCGCGAGCGCGCGCGCCGCGGCCGGUGUGCCCGCCGUUCCGGCAGUCCUGGGUGGGUUCCCGCCUUCUUGGAAUCGAGGGUGGUACCCGUGCCGUGCGCCAAGUGCCCCCAACGCCGAACGUUCCCGUGCCGUGCAUGCGCGACGCGUCGGGGGGUCAUCUGAAGCUGGCCCUAGCUCCUUUCCCAGACGCCGUGAAACGUUUGGGCUCUCUCGGGCGGUCCGCCGCUGUCGCACGGUGAACUCCGACGACAAAGACGAGGAUCCCCUUGCCACGUGCUACUGGAUCACCAUCUCAUUAUCUCUGCUCCGUAGUCCGUACUGGCGGCAUGUAUCGUGCACGUGCAGCUCCUGCAACUAGCCAGUAACUCUGAGACUACGAGCGGCGAGUUUAAUUCCCUUUUCCUCUCGUUCUUUGUUUGGGAGGAUAAUCAAGGGCGAGAACCUGAUGAGUUCGCUUGUCCGGACUGUCAGUUCGCGUAAGCAUAACGAUUCCCGGUGACAGGCUUCGUUUUCCUAGUAGCGUUAGCUCCGAGCUCAACGAGUUGCAUUAAUCCGUCCCCGCGUUAGGGGAGGAGCUGUCCUCCUGCGCGUGCUUAAUAAUUGGCCUCUGUCGCCGUUACGAAGCAACCUGAUUUGUUCUCUCUCAUGAGGCUAUUAUUUCACCGACGAACUCUACUACUAAACGAGCGAAUCAUGAUAGUCGCUCAGUCGAUCUCCUGAGAGCUCAGUUCAGAAUUGACGGCGUUAAAUAAGCUUCUGAACGAAGCGAGCGCGUUCGGCGUGCUGGCAUGCUUCGGGCAUUUUGUUUCUGUUUUUUUUUUCUUAGAGCAAAUCGCCCCGUACUGUCCGGCUGCAUCGGUCGAAGUCAGAGAGGCUAGUAUAGCUGCCUUUGAGCACAAAACAAAUUCACAAUUUAAAAAGGUACUUGACAAAUCUGAGAGGAACUAGACGAAAAUGAUCAGAUGCCAAAUUUCAUGUCGUAGCAUUAUUCACCCGCUGUCUAUCUGGUUAUUAAUAGAGAGAGUAUUCGGCGUGAAGCCAUUUCGUGGCAGCAGACACGCCGCGCGCACGACACAUGUGCCAACAAAGCACUGUACGUAUCUCAUAUCAGUCGAUCCGUCAUUGACCACGCACAUACGUGCGUUACUUGGUCAGUGGUCACUUUGAUCGUGCGUCUACCGGAGGAGGAACUUGGCGGGUAAUUUCGAACCUCAUCUGCGGAUGCGAUCUGUGAUUAAUGGCGCCCGACUCUGUGGCGGAGGAGCAAGCUGGCACGGGUGGACCUUCGGGUGCCCAACUCGCAACGGAACCAGCCGCAGCCCAACAGAAACAAUUGUCCGGGCUAUCUGCGAGGAUAAACGGGGGUCACCUUUGGAUGACGAGUGAUUGACAACCGUGGCGUAUAAUGCAUGUCUUGGCUUCUGAAGUGGACGGAUCUGAGUUCCGGUUUCGAAGCCGGAAGUUACAGAUUUAGUUCCGGUUUUACUCUGACAAGUGUUGAUUUUUCAUUCCGACCUGUCGCGCUUACCUCUAUUUUGUCUCUAAAAUUUUCUAGUAUUGUUUCUAGAUCCAAUAGCAUCCCAAAUAGCUUAAAUAGCUAUGUGGGCUGGACAAUUUUAGAAAAGAGAUUUGUUAGAUGAAUUUAGGAUACAGAUCUUGUUCUAAUCGGAGAUUUUUUAUAGGCUCUCAUUCACCUCCUCUAGUCGUCCGUUGCGGUACGCGGUACUACAAUUUGCCUUGCUCUUGGAGUUCUCGAUCUUGUUAUCACGUCAGGUUCGCUGCUACUAUUCCGUACUAUUCCUGACCCUCGUCUUGCGCGCCCGUAGCGUAGGGGUACGUCACGCCGGACAAGAGGAAGCUGCGGCAACCAGCAUGCGCGCUCCAGCCACCACCGAGUAGGCACGCCUUCGCCGAUCCGUCGACGUGGUGGGUCGAAUGCUGAUGCUUCAUCUCCGGCGGCCCCGUCUGAUCUCGUCGUCGUCGGUUCCCUAGCUCGUUCCAACAUUUCCACUUUUUUCCAGCAGUCACCUAUCAAAGCUCGACGGCUUUUUUAGGCCCUUCCUCCGCUCCGCCCGUCAUGAACGCCGAGAAUAUUUGACCCUGGUUCUGGUUAGCAGACAUGGAAUGUUCUGUUCCAGGUCCAGUCCCACUACAAUUCAGUGCAUCUGCUGCUGCAGGCUGACCACUCUCUCAGAGGAAACAAUCCAAUGGUAGAAGCGGUGCUCAUUCCUCUGGUGGAAAAGAACACAUCCGUGAUAACGACAGGCACGGAUGAAAGCAGCGGGGGGAAAGGGAAGGCAUUGGCCGUAGUGCCGUGGUCGCGGUUUCUAGAACACGACUUUGUUAUCGCCUGGACUCUGCCUGCAUUCCGUGAAAGUGCUACUAGCCAUGCCCGUAUGAGUACAUGACCGAUUGGACAGUACGUUUGUUGCACAUGGACAGGCAUGGUCGUAACUCGUAGCCAUCGCGCAGUCGGAAAGGAAAAAAAAAUGGGACCGGAAUGGCUGAACACCUGAAGCCGAAUCGUCUGAAGCUGGCGGAUGAAACCUGCCAAUCUGAAGCUGGCGGACGAGACCUGAAGCUUUUUUCUGUUCUGCUGUGUUUCAGUUUUAAAACUCGCAGACUCGUUUGUUGGUUUCGAUUCCUUUGUACUGUCACUGCUUUCAGGGGGAUCAAGAGGGGGGCAGCUGUAGGCUUUUUCCCUGCUCGCAUCCUGUCUGUAAUGGGCUACACUGUGCUAAAACGUUCUUGCCUUGUUAAUGCAAUGGCGCGGGAGGGCGGGACGAGCUUCGCCUAUCUGUUCUAAAAAAGAAAAGAAAAAAAAGAACUUCCGGAUUGCCGCCAGUCUUGCACCGGAUGGCUGUGCGUGCAAGUGGCAUAUACCUACCGAUCCAGCUAAACAGGCAAGACGUACAGCCUCUUGCUCCUAUCUACUAAUCCUGACAAGGUUCCGAGUUGACCUGCAGCUGGAGGAAAAACUCUUGCAAACCAGACAAUACCCUCAUCAAGCGGGUCAACGGAGUGGAUAAGCAGGCAGGCCUUGACUAAGCGCGGGCCCCACGACGAGCCUGCCCUGGGUAGAAGAGACGUGGAGUCACACAGCCUUUCUGCUCUUGAUGAUCCUCAAUCAGCAGCUAGCUGGUGGACUGCUACUCCAAGCAACGCCCGGGCUUCCUUCUAGACGAAGACCGGACCGGCUUGGGGACCAAGCAGCAGGCAGGAAGCUUCUGACUUCUGAGGGCUGCCGGCCUCGCGUUCCUUCGCGUCGCGGCUUCUGUUUGCGGGAGCCAGCUAGGUUUGAUCGGUAGAGGAGCAAAUGUAAUACGGUUUUGCCAAAUGAACAAAGGGGACUCCAGUUUAAAGAGAGGUUUUCGUUUCUCAACAUCUAGAAUCCAACCUAUGGCAAAAAGUCGAUUACAAAACCUCCAACCAUGGCCGGCAAAGAAGUGCAUCAUUAUAGCCUCCAAACUUUAGCAGAACUAUUUUAUUUGGUGUCCUCAAAAAAUUUGCAUCAGGGAUCAAAACCGGGUUCAGUUAAAUAAACUGCAAAGGAGAAUUAAUUGGAGCUUUGUCAAAAACCAUAUCAUUACCGUCUGCUCCCUCCAUCCAAAAAUAAGUCAUCCUAAAAAUUCUAGUCAAGAAGGUAGAAUGACCAUAUUUGCCUCUAUUUAUUACCUAUAUUUAGCACUAAUUUGAUUCUUGCAUUCUUGCAUGCACAUGCACUUUCUAAUAGGGUAAGAUGACUCGUUUUUUGAUAAAUUUCGAAUCCUAGAAUUACUUAUUUUUUAGACGGAGCGAGUAGACAUUUCUUUCCGUUAAAUCCUUAGAGAUAAGAACUGCCGCAUUCCUUUAGAAUUUUCUUGAAAAAACAGGUUUGGACCAGAGCCCUGACUUUCACCCCGAAGAGUUUGAAACUUCGAUGUGCAGUCCUCACGUCCCAGACCCUCCAAGUUCACUAGUUCAGAGACCCACAGUGGUCUUACGCUUGACAAAUUUGGUAAUGGGAUAUUACAGGGUGCUGGGACGUUGAUCUGCUACUUCUAGUGAUGUGAUGGUGUCUUAAUGACGUUUUGACGUGAGAGAGAGAGAGAGAGAGAGAGAGAGAGAUUCUUUUUUUAAUAAAAAAAGGAGGGGCAACAUUCUAGACUGAUUGGCACCGUUGAAGCAAACAGGCAAAACACAUUAAUAAAAAAAAAGAGAGAACACAUGGUAUAGGAUGCUAUUAUUCUAACUGAUCCAAAGUACGACUACAACAUGUAUUAAUUAACAUACUGGAAAUUCGUGUGAUGGCAUGUUCCUUCCAUGGAAAUUUGAAAAAUAUUGAAAGCUGCAUGAGGAAUCGUUGGCAUGAGUAUCUCUAGGGUAUCUACAAGCUAAUAUGAAUAUGAUUUACCGUGCAUAUAGUGUCCUUUCUUAAAAUUCAUAAUACACCAAUUGUUCCACCAGUGACUGCGCGUACAUAAGAUCAGCGUGUGAACAUUCCAAAAUAUAUUUAGAGGGGUUCUAAAUGUAAUUUAGCAUGUGCUCUGUUCGAAAUAGGAUUACACAACUCAUGAAAAUGUCAUGGGCCAUCAUGACUGCGGCAGCCCAACUUAGCACGUACUCAGAUACUGGGUGGCCCAGGUGAUUUUCAUCUGGUUGGGCCGGGCCAGAUGCCCACAGGUCCAAACGCAUAUAGCUUGUGUAUAGUUCCUACUUCCGCUAACAUUCUGAAGUUUACGCUACCUGUAUUUUCCCUCAUUCGCCAUACAUAUGAUAACCUCAGUUUCCCACAUCUUCUGCGCCUCCUGCAUGAUCCUAAAUGUAACAUGUAUAACCUUACUCCUGACAGAGAGGUGAAGCGUUGUUUGAGCUCAGAACAGCCAAGCGGGAAGCUAGCUGACACUGACAGGUCCAACGUCUUCUCGUACGGGAUCGUGCGCCUGGAGCUCAUCACCGGCCGGAAGCCGCCCGUGGACGCGUCUCAAUUCUCAACCCCUGGGAGAAGAGAGCCUAGUAGAAUGGGCACGUCUAUCUCUACUCCAGUGCUCUCAUCUGUUAUCUUUUUCUUGAAGCUGGUAUCACGUCGCCGCAUUCUUGCGUGAGUCCGGCUUGCAGGCUCGGGUCCUUGGUACGGACGCCCUGUAGACGGACAGCUUCAGAGAGAUCGCUCGCUGACCCUGCGACUCCGAUGGAGUGCAGAUUCUCCAAGACCGAGAUGCGGAGGAUGGUGGAGGCCGGCCGCCGCCGCUCGAGCGCGCCACUCCGCCGCCAAACAGGAUACCGGAUCAACUUGGACGUGAUUCUCCGAGCAGUAUACUCUUUAAUUCGCAGGAUGCUUGAUCAACUUGGACGCAUAUUCUUCGUCUCCUAACGACGGAACGCUUCUUGCCAUCUCUGGGAUGGGGAAUUAAGGUGCGGCGGUCGCUGGACGUGGACGAGAGCUCGUCGGACCUGACCGACGCCGUGAAGCUCGCGCAGAGCACGGCGUACGACUCGGGCCGGUGCUCGGCGGACGUCGAGCUAUCUGGUUCCCGGCCGCACAAGCAGACAACAACAUCUACUUGCGUGAACCACGUGGUACAUGUCCGUCCGCGUCGGCGUACGUGUGCCCGCAGGAGGACGGGACAGCGCGGAGAAUCGCUGCGGAGGAGGAGGUGUCGCGAGGCAGGCGCAGCUUCGUUGAGAUAGCUAGCACAGUGUCGACGGUGUACGUUGCUGUUCGUGCCGGUACAUUUUUGUGCGUGGAGCCGUGCAUUCUCGUCGCUCGUAAGAAGAGAGAACCGCUUGGCCGGCAUACGGUAACCUUUGGUAUAGAUGUCCUGUGGUCUGCACGAGUGGGUGCAGGCCCGUCUUGUUGCGACGGAUGCUGCGAGCCUAUCCUGAUGACUAAUGAGCAGCAUCUGCAGCCGGUGGUUCAGCUCAUCUUCAGGUGCGAGCCGGCCGAACGCGGCGUGGCCGGACGCAGACCGAAUCGAGGGCUGUUAUGUUUUCAGGUCGAAUAGUACGCAUGGCGCAAUAUAGGACCGGGUCAAACCGAUUUGACUAUAACUAACGCUUUCCGGCUCUGAUCUGUAGUGAACUCCGAGCUGAAUACACAGCCGUGCCAUGGAUUCGUGUAGUGUCUGUUGUAAAAAAAAAUGUGGAGCACUGCACGGGAAUAGCGUGUCAGUGUCGACACAUCUCACAUGUAGCAAGCGGCAAUAAUUAUGGUGACGUGGUCUAGGCAGGGGUACAACCUUGCAUACAGUGCAGAGUGCUGGUCCAUACGCUUUGGAGCCCUACCAGAGAACAGCCCGAUCCGUGGAUCUGUGGUGUAAAAAAAAAACAUGGUGUCUUCAACAUUAUCUCUGCAGGAGUGUGUUGGAUGGUUUGGCUAACUCGGAAUGACAUGAUCUUUCGUAACCGGUGCUGGGUGGACAUCAAGAUAAUUCUGAGGAGGAUGAACAGAUGCCUUGCAUCGUGGAAGCCAAUGUUAACGGCGACCCAGGAAGAUGGUGUUAACCAAUGGUGCAAUUACUUGGAGGAGACUAUCAGGGCGCCGCUGGGAAUCGGACCCUCCUGAAGAAGUUCAAGCUGAGCACCGCGAGGAAGGAGUUCUGAAGCUGCGCUUUGCGCUCCUUGAGGCUCUUGUUAUUGUUUUUUUUUCUUUCUGAAACACUGUUUUAGCCUCUGCCUGUAAGGUGUUAAACUGUUGGUCUAGCUCUCUUCUGGCAGACCCUUGGCUUUGUUUCCCAGACCUGUAAACGCUGAAACUGUUGUUGCUUUGUUUCUAAUGGAAAUGGAGCAGGGCGUUCGGCGCCUUUUGAUUAAAAAAAAAGAGAGAGAACAGCCCGAUCCAAGUCCAGCACCGAUAGAAAUUAUGUGGCGGAGAAACAAGAGGCCGCGAAAUUGAAGGCGAGCUAGCUGGCUGGCUGCACUCGCGUCAUACUGCUCUGGUGGCGCAACCAAAAAUUUCCACAGGCUCGGCACCAUUUAAUCCGAAGAAAACGAGCGGUUAAGUGUCUCUUUGGAUUUGGAUUCGGUGACUAAAUUUUAAACUUUAGUCCCAUCACAUCAAAUGUUUGGUAUUAAUUAAAAGUAUUAAAUAUAGGCUAAUUAUAAAAAUAAUUAUAUAAGUGGAGAUUAAUUCACAAGAUAAAUCUAUUAAACCUAAUUAAUCUAUUAUUAGCACAUGUUUACUGUAGCACAACAUUGCCAAAUCAUGAUCUAAUUAGAUUUAAUGAAUUCGUCUCACGAAUUAGUCUCUAUUUAUACAAUUAGUUAAGCCUAUAUUUAAUAUUUCUAAUUAGUGUCCAAAUAUUUGAUGUGAUAGCAAUAAAAUUUAGUAUAGCGUAUCCAAACUUUCCCUAACUUUAGUCUCCUCCGCCGAAGCCCAACUAUACAUACGCAUCAUUUUAUUUGAUGGAACAGGAGGCUCUCUUUUUCUUUGCGAGGAUAACUUCAUUUGAAUACACUGCAACGAAUUCACGUUCUAUAUGCCACUUGAUCCAUACAAUCUGUCCGGGGGAGUAUCCACAGUCUUAGGUCACGGUCCUAAAAUCCGGCUAGCACAGCUUAUUUUUUUAUUUCCCUUGACACCUCAUCUGAAAGGUACAUUUGGUCGCAGGCAGAAUACAAUACUGUUGGUACAUACAGAUAGGGGUACCUCCUGCUAGGGUGUCCAGGCCCCUGGCGUCUCGUAAUCCAUAACCCCCUCCUCUCCCGCUGGGUGAUGUGGCAUGCGACCCGGACCUGACAGCUGGGGCCACGGUCUCCGGACCCUCCCCGAGCCCUGGGAAGCCCGGGGCCCCUGUGCACCAAGGAGGGCAGGACGGCUUUCGGGUUGCCCCCGUGGCCCCGGACCCCCCAGGGGGUCCGAGGCCGCUACGUGUGAUAACCGGACCAUCACGGGCCAGGCUCCCUCAACUGGACUCGAAGGGCCCGGACUCCCCUUCCCCCGGGGAGGGGUCCGGUGCCGCCACGUGCCGCUUGACAGAGGGAGCGGGACUGGCUCUACCGCGUACCUGCGGCUGGAGGCCCUUCGCGAGUCACCAGCCCACCUACCAGCAUUAAAUGCGGUAGCUGAGCCGGGCGCGCCCAAGUCAAAAGGUGCGGCCUGUCACUGACACACGGGGCAGGUAAGCUGACACCACGGUAAGCCCGCCUGAUCUGAAGGCGGCGCGUCGUAUCACCGUGCACAGUGCGCGGACUGUGUACAGUCCUGUCACGGCGCUGCACGCGUGAUGAUGGUCUGCAAUAGGCAAAGCCAAGGCGUGCGCUGUAACAGUGCACACGCACCGGGUCAGCGCUGCUUCACCGCCUGACGGGAGGUCCCGUCCUAACAGUGACAGCACGGCUUCACUGUUAUGCAACGCUGACGCCGGAUACUGUGCAAGAUAAGGCUGUACAGGGCCGUAUCCAAGUUAUGGAUACGCACAUCAACUUCCCGAUUGAGAGGACUACGGAGAGGAGCUGGAGAUGAAGAUCUCCAUAUCUCUCUUAGAACAAGUUUCUGCUGGCCGGACCCACAUGUCGGGGUCCAGCUCGGUGUAAGCUCCCCCCUUGGACUAUAAAAGGGAGGGUGUACACGUUAGAAAGGGCGGGGUUCCAACAUCCAAGGUUAGACACAAGCACAAGACCAGACUAAGUUCUACCCAAGGCUCUCACAGUCAAUACAAUACCAUAGUGGACGUAGGGUAUUACGCUCCGGCGGCCCGAACCACUCUAAAAUCCUCGUGUCCUUCCUGUGUUCAUCCGCACACCGAUCGAGCGCUCCUAAGUCUCCUCCAAACCCAUCCUUAACUAGGGUUAGACGGGUGCUUUCCGCCACCCGGCUGGAGAAUUCCUCCGACAUUUGGCGCGCCAGGUAGGGGAGCCUAGGUUUGGUUCGCGUUUGAUCAAAGUGCAAGGCCGCGAUGGCGCAGGAAAACGGUCACCAUGACCUCCUGAUUGGGGAAGAGGUGGCGUCCACGGCGCCACACGCCUCUCGCCGUCUCGCCUCCGGAGCGGCUCCGCGUGUUGCCCCACCAUGUGCGGCGGAGCGGGUCUCAGUGGCCUAAUCGGUGCCCGCACCGAGCGGGCCCCUCAUGGCAGCCAGGGAGUUGCUCCGCAACCCCCCUGGAGAGGCGGCUUCGCCAGACGCGCACACGCAAUGGCGUGACGACGUCGACCGUCUCCUCAACCUGGCACAGGCUUCCCCAGGCUCUGCGGGGGGUCUGUUUCCAGGCAGCGCCGUCGCCAGGGCGGCGCAUCCGGUUUGGUGCACUCACCGUCCGUAAGGAGUGCACGGACCGAAGACCUCCGGGCGGAUCUCAACCGCAGGCAUGCGGGAGAGGACGCCAGGGUCUCUAUCGAGCGAGCGCGCAACCGACGGCUCAAUAUUGAGGGUCGGGACCUUUCGCCCGAGCUCGAUGCGGCUGCGGCCAGGCCGCAAGGACUCCCUCAGGCACCGGUGUCGGGCGUGGUCUGCGCAGCGCUCGCAGACCACCUUCGCGCGGUCGCCUAGCCGUCCAAGUUUCGGCCCCACCUGCCGGAAAAAUAUGACGGCUCCACCAACCCGUCAGAGUUCCUGCAGGUCUACAUCACCGCCAUCACGGCGGCCGGAGGUAACGAAGCCGUCAUGGCCAGUUACUUUCAUGUAGUCUUGACCGGGCCAGCCCGGACCUGGCUCAUGAAUCUUACCCCGGGAACCAUCCAGUCCUGGGGUGAGCUCUGCGCACAGUUCACGACGAAUUUCGCCAGUGCGUACCAACAGCAUGGCGUGGAGGCCCACCUUCACGCCGUGAGGCAACAACCCGGGGAAACCCUCCGGGCCUUCAUCUCUCGCUUCACCAAGGUACGUGGAACUAUCCCACGUAUCUCCGAUGUAUCUAUCAUCACGGCCUUCCGACAGGGAGUCCGGGACGAGAAGAUGCUAGAGAAGCUGGCGACCCACCAAGUGGAAGCCGUCACCACCCUGUUCGCUCUGGCGGACAAGUGCGCCCGGGCUGCAGAAGGCCGUGCAUGGCACUCUGAAAACCCAGGCAGGCCCCGCUCAGACGAGUGGACCCAGUGGCGCUGCCCCCGGCAGCGGCAAGAAGAAGAACAAGAAGAACCGUGGCUUCGACAAGUCACGGAUUGGGGGUCCGGCCGUUGCAGCUGCGACGACCGGGGGCCAGAACUCCCGUGGCAAGCGCCCGCGACAGCAGCGCACCGACCCCGGGUCGUGCCCUGUUCAUCCGGGGGCUCGCCACAGCGCCACCGAGUGCCGCGAGAUCCAGAAGCUCGCGGAGCGCCUCAGCAAGAGGCGAGACCAAGCCUCCAAGGAAGGCUCCUCCCCUCCACGCCGGUCCGGAAAGGAGAAAGCCUCUGAUGCCGACGCGGCUGCGACUGAGAGGGAGUUGGGGUAUCAAACCCCCAACAAAGACCUCAAGGGACUUUUCCAGCAGUCCGAUUCCGAGUCCGGCGGGGACGAGCGCCGCAAGAAGCUGUACGUUAUGUACGGCGGCAGUUCGGAGCUCGUCUCCCGGCGGAACGUCAAGACCCUUCGCCGCGAGGUCCUCUCGGUGAAGCCAGGGGUGCCGAGAGCGGCGCCCCAUCAGCGGUGGAAUGGCACUACCAUCUUCUUUUGGCCAUCUGAUUGCCCAGAGAACAUGGCGGGCGCCGGAGUGCUGCCGCUCAUUACAGCACCCACCAUCGCCAAUGUUCGCCUUCACCAUGUGCUGAUCGACGGAGGCGCCGGCCUCAGCGUCAUCAGCUAUGCAGCGUUCAAGCACCUGCAGAUCCCGGAGUCCAAGCUGGCUCCAUCACGCCCAUUCUCAGAAGUGGGCCCGGAUCCCGUGUACCCGGUGGGAACCGUCACCCUACCGGUUACAUUCGGGACAGAGGACAACUUCCGUACCGAGAACGUGCAGUUCGAGGUUGCGGAAGUUAACCUCCGCUUCAACGCCAUCAUCGGCAGACCGGCUCUGUACCGGUUCAUGGUCGUUGCCCACUACGGGUACCUGGUCCUGAAGAUGCCUUCUCCGGCAGGCGUCCUCACCGUCCAGAGCGAUCGUGCCGCUGCUGUUCUGGCGGUCGAAAAGCUCCAUGCGCUGGCUACAGGGCUUGCCCCUGUAGUUGGCACCCAGGGGUCCGACCUCUCAACCUUACGUGCCAAGGUUCCGGCCAAGACACCGAGGGUCUGUCCGUCUGACACGGACAACUUUCCCGUGAAGACCAUCCAGGUCGGAGUGGAGACCUCCCAGACCACCCGCAUUGAUGUGUUCGCCUGGGAACCAUCACAAAUGCCCGGGAUUCCCAGGGAGGUAAUUGAGCAUCAUCUGAAGAUCCACCCCGACGCCAGGCCGGUCCGGCAGAAGCCACGCAAGCAGUCCAUUGAGCGGCAAAACUUCAUCCGUGAAGAGGUCCGCAAGCUGCUGCAGGCUGGCUUUAUCCAGGAGGUCUACCAUCCUGUAUGGUUGGCCAACCCAGUUGUGGUCCCAAAGGCCAACGGAAAGCUUCGGAUGUGCAUCAACUACACCAAUCUUAAUAAGACAUGUCCAAAAGACACUUAUCCACUCCCGCGUAUAGAUCAGAUUGUAGACUCCACCUCCGGAUGUGAUUUGCUGUCCUUCAUAGAUGCCUAUUCUGGUUUCCAUCAAAUCAAAAUGGCUAGAGAUGAUAGGAAGCAUACAGUUUUUGUAACAGUGGAUGGUCUUUAUUGUUAUAUAGUGAUGCCUUAUGGAUUGCUCAAUGCUCUACCCACCUUUGCUCGCGCAAUGAAUAUCACUCUAGGUGAUUUGGUUAGAGAUAUAGUAGAGGUGUAUGUCGAUGACAUCGUAGUCAAGACUAGAGAGUCGUGUUCUCUAUUAGAAAAUUUAGCUCGAGUUUUUGACAAGUUACGGGCGACCUCCACCAAGUUUAACCCCGAGAAGUGCGUCUUUGGCGUAUCGGCGGGGAAGCUCCUUGGUUUCCUGGUCUCCUACCGGGGAAUCGAAGCCAACCCGGAUAAGGUCCGGGCAAUCGAGGCAAUGAGACCCCCCGCGCGCCUCAAGGAUGUACAGAGGUUGACGGGGUCCCUGGCAGCUCUCAGCCGCUUCAUUUCGAGGCUGGUGGAGAUGGCACUUCCCUUCUUCAAGUUGAUGAGGGGGUCCGGCCCAUUCACAUGGACCGAAGAGGCAGAGCGUGCUUUCCAAGAGAUGAAGCAGUACCUUACCUCCUUGCCGGUCCUGGUCGCGCCGGACCCAGGUGAGACACUGUUUCUUUAUCUUGCAGCAACGACCGAAGUGAUCAGCAUGGUGCUGGUCACCGAGAGGUCCGAGCCUCUCUCGCAGGGGCCCCCGCGGACCCCCCUACAGGAGAAGGAGGACCGGCCCCCACCACUCCAGUAACCGGCCCUACUUCGGAGGGUCCGGCCGGGUCCCGACCCGGACAAGCGCUCAGCAGCCUGGGGGCCGACGGGUGCCCAGCUGAAGCCGAAGGGUCUAACCCACCUGGCAGAGUCAGGACCAUCCAGAAGCCGGUCUACUAUGUCAGUGAGGUCCUUCACGAGGCAAAGGCCAGGUAUCCUGAGACGCAUAAGCUUCUUUAUGCCAUACUCGUUGCGUCCAGAAAACUCCGCCAUUAUUUUCAGGCCCACAAGAUUGUGGUGGUAACCUCCUACCUUUUGAGGGCCAUCCUCCACAACUCCAACGCCACAGGCAAUAUCGCCAAGUGGGCAGCUGAGCUCGCUGGAUUCCAACUUGACUUCCAGCCGCGCCACGCCGUCAAGAGUCAGGUCCUAGCUGACUUCGUGGCGGAAUGGACACCUGCGCCAAGCGCCUCUGGGGGUCCGGACCAUGGGACGGACCCCCCACGUCCGGAAGCCAGCGCCCCGGUGUUCACCGGACCCCACUGGACCCUCUUCUUUGACGGGUCCGCCCGCAGCAAGAGGGCCGGGGCUGGCGUGGUCCUCAUCGACCCACAAGGCGAGCAAUUAAAGUAUAUGGUGCACCUCGAUUUUGAGGCCACCAACAACAUGGCGGAGUAUGAGGACUUAAUCUUUGGGCUCACGGCGGCACUGUCCCUGGGGGUCCGGGAGAUCCUGGUCAAAGGGGACUCCCAACUCAUCAUCAGGCAAGUUCGGGGGGAGUGUUGCUGCAACAACCCCAGCUCGCAGCCUACCUCAUUUAUGUGAAGAGGCUGGAGAAGAAUUUCGAUGUGCUGGAACUGCAACAUGUUCCACGCGAAGGCAACACAGCAGCUGAUGCACUCUCCGCGAGCAUCGACUCAGGCACCCGUGCCUGAGGGCGUCUUCCAGAGGCGUCUGUUGAAGCCUUCCGCCCAGCCUGCCGACCUGGGCGAUGGGGGUCGGAAUAGCACCUCGAAGCUAGCGGUCCCGGCGGCGCUCCAUCCGUGGUGCCCACCAAGGGUCGUGUGCUCCCUUGAGGGUCCCGAAGACCUCAGGGAGCCACGCCCGGUUUCUCAGGAAGGUCCUGAUGCAUGGAUCUCCAGGGUCCGGGACUACCUGAAAGAUAAUUUCCUUCCUGAAGAUCAUGCAACUGCUGAGCGCAUUGUCCGGAUGGCUAAGCGAUACACAGUGGUAGAGGGGGAUCUCUACCGCCGUGGCGCCAACAGCAUCCUCAUGCGGUGCAUCACCCAGAAAGAGGGCCGCGACUUGCUCGCGGAGAUCCAUGGAGGCGAGUGCGGAAGCCACUCUUCAUCCCGCACGCUGGUUGGUAAAGCCUUUCGGCAUGGUUUUUACUGGCCGACAGCGCUCCAAGAUGCAGCUGACUUGGUAAGGUCCUGCAAAGCGUGUCAGUUCCACGCAAAGCAGAUACACACUCCAGCUCAGGCACUGCAGAUGAUUCCUCUCUCUUGGCCCUUCGCUGUAUGGGGGUUGGAUAUCUUGGGACCUUUCCCUAGGGCCGUCGGCGGGUACCGGUACCUUUAUGUCACGAUUGACAAGUUCACCAAAUGGCCGGAGGCAACCCCUGUGGUCAACAUAACCAAGGCGUCGGCAACUGCUUUCCUCAGGUCGAUUGUGUGCCGGUUCGGGGUCCCGAACCGGGUCAUUACUGACAAUGGGACUCAGUUCACAAGCCAAUACUUCCAAGAGUACUGUGAGGAUAUUGGCAUCCAGCUCUGUUUUGCCUCAGUGGCGCAUCCCAGGAGCAAUGGUCAAGUAGAGCGGGCCAACGCUGAGAUCCUCAGAGGACUCAAGAUCCGGACCUACUAUGAUCUUGAGAAGCGUGGCGCAAGGUGGAUCGAAGAGCCUUCGAGUGUAUUAUGGGGGAACCGGACCACACCCAGCCGCGCGAUAGGGGAAACCCCUUUCUUCUUGGUCUAUGGGGCCGAAGCGUGCCUUCCCCCAGAGAUCACCAUGGGCUCUCUUCGAGUCCGGUCUUUUGAUGAAGAUUUGCAGGAACUGCAGCGUCGCUAAGACGUGGACCUCGUCGACGAGUGCAGAUGGCGAGCAGCAGUCCGAAAUGCACGGUACAACCAAGCGCUCCGGCGCUACCACCAACGGUUCGUGCGAAGUAGGGAGCUCCGGGUCGGAGACCUAGUCCUAAGGCGAAUCCUGAAUCGGGAAGGCAUGCACAAGCUCUCCCCCAGCUGGGAGGGGCCCUACAAAGUGACCAAGGUGUGCCGACCCGGAUCUGUUCGCCUGGCUGCGGAGGAUGGAAUGCAACUACCCAAUCCAUGGAACAUUGAGCACCUCCGUAAGUUCUAUCCCUAUGACCUGGUUGAGAGGAAAUUUUUCCUUUGUAAUUGGUAGCAUUGCCGUGCGGAUCAGGGCGGUAGAGGUCCGCCCUCGUAAACCCGACCCCUGGCGUACAUCGCACAACUCUUCUGUACCAAUUCAUUUAAGGGGAAAUUUUUUCUCAAAUGCGUCCUUGAACUCUAUGCGAUUCUAAGUUUUUUCGCUUCUUGUUACGCUAACCCCCCACGUGGUUUUUCGCGUCUGUGCCGUUCGAAGGCCCUACCAAAACUGCUACACUAUGUCUCUGCCUGGGAUCCCUGUCUCGUGGAAGAAAAGGAACCGGACACCCGGGAACUGGCUUCAGGGAGACGUGCUCGUUCUUUGCUGGGGUCCAGGGCUGUGUAGCCGCUUAGCCUGGUUCCGUACCCUAAGCCUACACGCCCUGCCCCCCUAGGACGGGUACCGUUGUACCUUGAACAAUGGACCCGGGGGCCGGGACCCCUUAGAUUCCCGAACUGUGGCUCCGGUGCUCUGACUCGUUACGCAACGCAGUAGGCCUUCGCUGGCCGGACCGGGACCUCGUGGGGACGUCUACUAAGCGUCGAUCUGAGUCACGUGCAGGACCUCGCUUUUAUGGCAGCUAGUCCCGAUUUAUCGCGACUACCUCCCAGGGGGCCACGGGACCUCGGUGUGUCCAACAGCACUUUGCAGAUCGACAGUCAGGGAAACAGCUAAGUUUUUCGCGAAAAGUAGACACAUCAAAUACUUAAACGCAUUACUAAUAAUGUGCACAACAUUUUAAAGUUAUCUUACAAUAACAAAAGUUAUGUUACAAAAGAAAUAACAAAAAAGAUACUAGCACUACUGCUCUGGUGGUCCAGAGACACUCCCGCUCUCUGCAGGUUCGGGACGACGCCGGAGGCGCGUCGCGACCAUGUCCGCCGCCUCUUGGACCCCUUCUCGCGCGGCGGCUGCGGUCGCCCGGAGGGGUCCGACCAUGACAGGAGUCAGCUGGAUUGAGGGGUCAUGGCUCCGGAAGCUGGUGAGGAUGUACUCGGCCAUCCCCCUAGCAACUAUUCGCCCCUCUGUCUCCAGGAGAUCCUGCAUCCCGGCCCCCGCAUCGUGUAGCCGCCUGGCGGUGGUGUCCAGCAGUUGAAGCGCGGCGCUAAAUGGCGAAGGAGCCUCCGGUACCCAGAUGGGGUUGGCUCCGAGUGCCUCUAGCAGAGGGUUCACCGUGCCAACCCAUCUUGUUAACCGGCCGGAGCCGGCGCGCUGCUCCACCAGGAGCUCCUCCACCUUGGCCUCCCUCUCCUGGAGCACAGCCUCGCAUUCCUGGAGCCUUCGGUUCCCGACUGCCAGCUCCUCCUCCACGGCCUCUUCCCGUUUUUGGAGCUCCUGGAGCCGGGCCACCUCCUCUGCUUCACGGGCGGCCAGCCAUUCUUCUUUCUUUGCUGCCGCCGCCGCCAAAUCUGCGAGGGCGGCCUUUUCCGCCUCGACCGCUGCUGACGCCUUCCUGGCCUGAGCCGCCAGCUCCUGGGCGACCCGCUCCCUGUCUGCUAACGCCACCUUCAUCUCCUCCACGGCGAUCAGCCCCUCAAGGGCUUCCGUUUCCCGCCGCCUGGCCGCCUUCUCCCACUGGAGCGCCGCCGCCUCUCGGACGCGAGCUUGCUCCAGCUCCUCCUGCAGAAGCUCGCGCCCAUGCACGAGCUUGGCACGCUCCUCGGCGUAGCGGGCAGAGACGGAGUUGAUGCGGUCACCCAGGCGGACCUCCCAGUCGGAGAGUCGGUGGUGUUCUGCCUCCAGCUUCUCCCACUCCCGGCGCAUGCCAGCCUCUAGCUCCUGCUGAGCUUGGUGGCAUUUGGCUAUGAGCCGGGGGAGAGGGACCUCCGCUGUGCUUGGGAGGAGGCGCCUCCCUAGCACCACCUCCGGUUCCUCCUCCUCAACCGGUGGGGAGACGCUGCUGCCAACUUCGGCGACCCCUGGUGCCGCCUCCUUCGCCUCUUCCGCUACCUCCGGUGCCGCCACCUCUGCUGCCUCCGGCGCUGCAGCCUCCGCCGUGGCAGCGGCCCCCUUAGCCACCGGCUCGGCUGGUGAGGGCCCGGCCUCGUCACCUGAAGCUGCGGCCGCUGCCUCCAUAGCAGCAGCGGCCUUGGUGGCCUCCUCCUGGGGGGCAGCUUCGGGUUGUGGCGGGGUGGAGGCAUCCGGCUCCGGGCCCAUGGGUCCGGUAGCUUCUGGAGCUGCUUCGGGCGGGGGACCUGCUGGGGACGGCGCCGAAGGUCCCGACGCUGGCUGGGGCCCGGUCCCCCCAGUUGGUACGUCUGAAGAUUGCGGCCUGCCGUAUCACCUAUAUGGUUAAGGACCAGAAGCCAAGAAAGGAAAUGAAAAAUCUUUACAAAUUUACUUACGGGAAGUCGCACCACUCCCAUCUGCCCCGGGCGGCUGGGGGAACCUUCCUCCCUGCCGAGGACCCCCCGGACCUUUGGGGAGCGUCCCCGGCCUUUGAGCCCCCUGGCGGCGGCGAUGGGGACUGUGGCCUGACCUCGGACGGUAGUGGUGGUGUCGCGGGCCGCCGUUCUGGUGGUGGUGGCGGUGGAGUCUGUCGUCUUGGGGGAGGCCGGUGUUGCGGUGGAGGAGGUGCAGCCCCGCUCUGCUCCUCCGCCCCCGCGGUCUUCUGGCGCUUGGGCGCCGGCUCCCCGACCAAGGAGCCAUCGCCUCGCUGGAGCCUCCGGAAUUUGCUCCCUUCGGGUUGGCUGCUCCGCGCUGGUGCUAGCCCCUGGGCCUCACCGCGUCCUUCUGUCGGGGGAGCACCAGCGUUGCCCUUCUGCCGGUGCUCUGGCACCGGCGCCUUCUCCUUCCCUUUCCCGCUGGGGGCCGGACCUCUGGGUCCCGGCCCCCCGGGACCGUCGUUGGUGCAUUGCUGGCGGUCCGGCGUGGCGCCAGUGAUCUGGAGCCCGCGGUUGGGGUCGUCCCCCAGUUGCCGGACCGCCAGGCCGCCCUCGUCCAGGGUCGGCAUCGACGCCAGGACCGAAGACCGCAGUGCCUGGUCCUCGCACAGGGCCUUCACCCCGCUCGGGAGGACCAGGGACUCGGGAAUGAACGCCUCGCCGGUCACCGCCCGGACCGCCGCCUCCAGUUCCGCCCUGGUGAAGUCACCGCCGGGCCCGCGCGCGAUCCUGCAGCAGUCGUUAAGCCCCGUGUACACGUAGGCCAUCCGGGACCGCUGCUGCAGGGGGGCGAUUCGCCGCUUCAAGAAGUCGCCCAGCACCAUCAUAGAAGUCAGGCCGCCCCUUGCCAGCUUCUUGAUCCGGUACAGCACCGGGUCGAGCUCCGAAGGUAUUGUCGGCCUGGCCUUCCAAGUGCUCCAGUCACUCUGGGGGCCCCCCGUCGGCAGUUCCAGGCGGUCGUGGGGGUCGGUUACCGCAAUGACCCAGCCUUCACGCCAGUCCUCCCACUUGGAGCUGGAGAAGGCGGCGAUGUAAGAGCCCGCCAUCCCGUGCCAGAGCUGGAAGUAAUAAGCGCCAAUCUCGCCGCGCUUCUUCCCGGUCCCGACCAGGGAAUAGAAAUGUUUGAAGAUGGUGGUGCAGGGUCGCACCCCCACGAAUAUCUCCAUAAGGUGGGCGAAGACCGCCUCGAGGAGGACGGAAUGGGGGGUGAGAUGAUGAAGUUGGAGGCCGAACUCCUCCAGGAGCAGGAGCAAGAAGGAGGAGAUCGGAGGAACCAACCCGCACAAAAUGUACGAAUUGAAAAGGACGAACUCCCCCGCAGCAAGCUUGCGGAGGGGGAUCUUGCCGGCCCUGACCUUCCCGGCGUUCGCCGGAGCGGUCCACCCCAUGAGGCGCCGCACCGCGUCCAACUGAUCCUGGCUCUGGAAGCGACGCGGGAAAGGAAGUGUAGUCAUGGUGUUUGUUGGGUAUGGAUUGCAAAGGAGAAGGGAAGAGAAGGGAGCCGAGCGCAAGGAUGCCAAUCACGAGAAGAGAUGCGGAGACGAAGGGGCGCUACGGCGUCUGUUGUUGGCGAGAGCGAAAAGGUAGCCGCUCCCUUCGGCGCAUACCUUUUAUGCAAAAGGCCACUGCCUUCUCGCGCCCACGGCGACCGAGGAGAAGCCGAACGGUUGGCUGCACCAGGCCCGCUCCUCUCAUACCCUUUGACCGGUGGGCCCGGGCCCACCAGUCAGAGGCGUGACCGCUGGGGGUAUGGGGGAAAGGCGGAAUCCGAACCACCCAGGCCGCUGGACGGGCUCGAAUAAGACAAGAAUCUGAACCGCCUGACGCGUGCGCCGCGGGCGCGGGACGGGCCCCUCGGGGAUCCCACUUUGGGCGAAAGGACAUCCAUGCCCUUACCCGGCGGGAACGAGCUGUCCACCCGGCGCGAAGCUGGGAUUUGGCCACACCUGCGGGUUCAUCCCUCACCCAAGGUGGGCCCGGGGGCCUCUGUCGGUACAUACAGACAGGGGUAGCUCCUGCUAGGGUGUCCAGGCCCCUGGCGUCUCGUAAUUCAUAACCCCCUCCUCUCCCGCUGGGUGACGUGGCAUACGACCCGGGCCUGACAGCUGGGGCCACGGUCUCCGGACCCUCCCCGAGCUCUGGGAAGCCCGGGGCCCCUGUGCACCAAGGAGGGCAGGACGGCUUUCGGGUUGCCCCCGCGGCCCCGGACCCCCAGGGGGUCCGAGGCCGCUACGUGUGAUAACCGGACCAUUACAAGCCAGGCUCCCUCAACUGGACUCGAAGGGCCCGGACUCCCCUUCCCCCGGGGAGGGGUCCGGUGCCGCCACGUGCCGCUUGACAGAGGGAGCGGGACUGGCUCUGCCGCGUACGUGCGGCUGGAGGCCCUUCGCGAGUCACCAGCCCACCUACCAGCAUUAAAUGCGGUAGCUGAGCCGGGCGCGCCCAAGUCAAAAGGUGCGGCCUGCCACUGACACACGGGGCAGGUAAGCUGACACCACGGUAAGCCUGCCUGAUCUGAAAGCGGCGCGUCAUAUCACCGUGCACAGUGCGCGGACUGUGUACAGUCCUGUCACGGCGCUGCACGCGUGAUGAUGGUCUGUAAUAGGCAAAGCCAAGGCGUGCGCUGUAACAGUGCACACGCACCGGGUCAGCGCUGCUUCACCGCCUGACGGGAGGUCCCGUCCUAACAGUGACAGCACGGCUUCACUGUUAUGCAACGCUGACGCCGGAUACUGUGCAAGACAAGGCUGUACAGGGCCGUAUCCAAGUUAUGGAUACGCACAUCAACUUCCCGAUUGAGAGGACUACGGAGAGGAGCUGGAGAUGAAGAUCUCCAUAUCUCUCUUAGAACAAGCUUCUGCUGGCCGGACCCACAUGUCGGGGUCCAGCUCGGUGUAAGCUCCCCCCUUGGACUAUAAAAGGGAGGGUGUACACGUUAGAAAGGGCGGGGUUCCAACAUCCAAGGUUAGACACAAGCACAAGACCAGACUAAGUUCUACCCAAAGCUCUCACAGUCAAUACAAUACUAUAGUGGACGUAGGGUAUUACGCUCCGGCGGCCCGAACCACUCUAAAAUCCUCGUGUCCUUUCUGUGUUCAUCCGCACACCGAUCGAGCGCUCCUAAGUCUCCUCCAAACCCAUCCUUAACUAGGGUUAGGCGGGUGCUUUCCGCCACCCGGCUGGAGAAUUCUUCCGACAAAUACUCUCUCUAUUUUCAUUUACAUGUCGUACUAAGUUUAUCCUAACUCAAAUUUAGCUAACUUUGACCAAAUUUAAGAAAAAAAUAAUAAUAUUUAUAAUAUCAAAUUUAUUUUAUUGAAUCGACCAUUAAGUAUACGUUAACAGUGUAUACGUUGGAUAAUAUAGUUAUUGCUAUAUUUUUUAUAUAUUUGAUCAAAAUUAGCUUACUUUAAUCAGAGAGAGUAUGUACGAGCCGACAUGGUUUGUCUAUACGGGUCAGAGAGGCUCGAGGAUCGGAAGUGAGCUAUUGAUUUGUCCGAGUCCACGUCCGCCUCGGCCAUCGCCUGCCCGCGCUGCCGCGCGCGCCACCAGUGUACCACGCCGUGGUCGGGGACCGUCCACAUCGGCAGCGCCAUCCCGGCCAUCCGGAAUGCCGCCCUGCAUCCAAAUGACCAAAUUUUAGCAGGGGCCUGCAGCAUGGAACGGUUGAGCCUCGCCUUACUGAUUCCAGGAACCGCUUCUGUGCAAGCCUCGCGCCCUCGCCAGUGUGUGUGCGCACCGACACUGGGGGAACUUCCCCGUCUCUCGCCCAAAUGAUGCCACUGCUCUCUGCUCCACCGGCACCGGCAGUGCUCACUGCUCUCUGGUCCUCUGUGAGACCGCGCGCCAGUGGCAGCUUGGCACACGGACAACCCAACUAACCCUCCCUAGGUAGGUAGUACGAGUGCCUUGUUUCUUUGGUUAUUACCUUUUCUUUGUAGCCGCACGCGUACGGUGGUCUCACAAUUGAGAGGCUGUCACUUGUCAAGCAUUUCGUGUAGCCUCUGCUCUGUAUCCUCUGCAGGCUUUGCCCACCAUCAGAACGGGUGCUCUACGAAUCGAGAGAGACCUGUGGCAUCAAAAGCGCCCCACCUCACAGGCUCACAGUCACACCCACCAGUUAGCUCCAUGGCUCCGUGGCCGCCCAGUUUAACUCGAACAUCUUACCAUCCUAUUGGCUUUCGUCCCAUUCAUCGGAGAGCCGAGCGGAAGAAGUGCGCAUAAGACUAUAAGAGUAUACAUAACCGUUGAGGUAACUCGUAUCAAGAUGUCUGUAACAUGUUCGCAAUAUAUAUAUAUAUAUAUAUAUAUAUAUAUAUAUAUAUAUAUAUAUAUAUAUAUAUAUAUAUAUAUAUAUAAGCAGCUUAAAACACGACCCGUACAUCCGGUGGCGGAGCUAGGAUUUUUGUACGGGGCAUGUCAAAUCAAAAUGUUCAUAUGCAAACCGGUAAAAUCUAUUUAGCAAUUCGGUAAAGUUUUAUAAAAUUACCCAACAAUUUGGUACACAACUACUAAAUGGCAUAAUAAGUCUUAAAUUACAAUCCAGAUAGUCUAAAACACCACACUAAUAGCUUGGAAUAUAAAGCACACAAGUUUAAAUAGCAAAUAGGAUUACAACACUAUUAUUUAGGUCAACGCUUUCUAAUGGCCAUGAAAGUCUUAACUACAUCAUCUUUAUUCACAUCUUCCAAAAUAUCUCUAUCAAUAAAGGUGACAAGGUAAACAUCCAGGAGACUAUCACUCAUCUUAUUUCUCUGCUUGGUUUUGAUAAAAUCCAUAUUAGAAAAUACCCUCUCAACACUUGGGAUUUGGGGGAAUAUAAAAAAAAUGCAGGGGAGAGCAGAGGGGAUCGAGUUCUCACCGGCUGGGGGCUAGGGCACGGCCGCAAGGGCACCGGUGCAACCUGGCUAGGGACACUGGGCCGGCUGGAGGUAGAUUCCUAGGGUGGGGCUGCCCAUUUGGGGCCGGCUGCCGGGGGACGAGGCGCAGGGGUGGAGCCGGGGCACGCCGACUGCCGCCGAGGAAAAGGGAGGGAGCCGCGCGCCGCCGCCUGGAGAUGGAGCGGAGGGCAAGCUGGCGGGGGAGUUGGCGCAGUAUCGGGCAGACGAGCAUCGACGCUCGCAAGUCGCACGUCGAUCGCGCGAGGGCCGAGCAGCCACGGGAUGGAAGGGAAAUUGGGGUUUUUUUACAGACUAUAUGCUUAUUGGACUGGACUUAGGGUAUGCCGCACCAUACCCGUGUAGCCCACUGGAUCCACCAGUGUGUACAUCUAUUGUUUGUUAUCAUUAUCAUGCAAGACAUUUUGUCUUGCUUCACGUGCUACCUAUUCUAUUCCUCAAUAAUACUGUCUCUUGCUCAAUAAAUAAUAAUGUUUAGAACAAGCUAAAAAAUAUUGUAUAUUUGAAAAUAGAAAGAGCACCCUCUAUUAUUUCUUUGUAAAAACUCCUCAAUGUACUUGUUUAGAAAUUGUAGAUGCAAGCUUGGUCGUGGCCAAAAUUCUCAACAUAGAUAUGUGCUCACAGGGAAAAACCAUUUCAUAAGUUCUCAAACGUGUAAGUUAUUGAGAAUUUCUAAAUGGCCAGGUUAACACAUGAUGGAUCCAGCAGAAGCAAAGCAUCCGGCCUGCACACAUCAUCUUCCUCCUCUGAUUCAAUCCACCAUGUUAUGUCAUCAUUCUCCUUCUUGCAUCGCCACCAAAGCCGCACGACACACGUCCUGCGACGCAGGCUUGAUCCCAAACCUCUAUGGCUCUAUGUCCAACAAGGAACAAAGCAAUUCACCACCAGAAAAUCCUCAAACACCCCUAGCCUGAAACCCACUGCUGUCGUUGGCGCUUAUGAUAGAGGUGGUAAUGGACCAUGACCCUAAUACUCUCUUCACAAUCCAACUUGAUCCGUAAUAUUUUUAGCUUAAAAUUAUAUAAGAUUAGAAUUCGAUCCUUUUAGAGUCCGGCCCUUAGAUUAUCUAGGCUUAAAAUUAAGACCCUUUACCACCCCUACGCCUAUCACGUGGAAGCUAUUAGACAUGCUUUACUAUUAAGAUGGUACCAUUAGCCCAGUAUGACAACCCAUUUCAUGGAUAUCAUAAUUUGACGAGAAAUUGGCAACUAUAACAUUUCGGAAAGCGACGGUGCUACCGCUAAGGGGAUCAAAUACUUUACAAAUGACAUGUCAGCGAUUUGGUCACAAUAGGUGGCGUACAAGCUAGAAACUUUCUGAUUAGGAUCAGUCCACUCGGCAGAAAUAAUAGCCAUUUUGAGCUACCAAAUUCUACACCCCUCAUCAAUUUUCUCAAAGCCGCAUCCAUCUAAAAGUCCGUCGUCGUACGGGCGCUUAUUCACUCCAUGUCACGUGGGGCUUUCGAUCAGCAUCCGGACAGUUAGAGUUAGAGGAGAGUCCCGUUCUGAGGCACUGGUGGAUCGUGCAGAGCUUCUUCGUAAUCGGAGUAGCAGGACCAUCAAAAAUUAAAUCAUUGGCUUGCGCCGCAUCGCAUGGCGUGGCCACUUCCGCUACCACUUGCUGGAAAACUGAUACCCGUAUCUACGUGGCCUUCGCUGUCCAAGGCUUCAUGAGUUCAUGGCAUUCGGUUUCUGGGCUCGCUGCUUGCAUCAGUCUCUCCAGCACAACAGUACAAUCUGGCACCAAGUAGAAGAAGAAAUCGGGAUCCAAUCUGCAGCCCUUAUCAUCCGAAGUGGAAUAAACAAAUGAAUGCUGAACCGUCGGACAGGAACGGCCGAGCAAUCCCCGCCACCCAGCGCAACUACCCCCCGCGUUCCGUGAGCCCCGGCCGGGCCCUCCUCCGCUCUCGUUCACCACCAGCCUGAGUGCCUGGCCGCCUGAGAAAACACAGCAAGCCUCGGCCGUGCCGGGCCGAGCGGAAGAGCAGAGGCGAGCGAGCAGUCCACGGUUCAGCGGCUGACCACGCGGGCCGCGGCCGGCCGCAGCGCACACAAGCCUACCUACCCAAAUCCUUCCCCCCGCGCGCGACAAGAGCUCAGCGAGAGCGAGUGCCCUCAUCCAUCGCCCUAUUUAUCCACCACGCCCCCCCACCCUGCGCUGCGCGCACCCACCCCACCUGCGAAAACGCUCGCGAACCACUCCACCAACGCCAAGGCAGGGUCCGAGGCGGAUCGGCAGGCCCCGCGGAUACGCGCGCGCGCGAGCAUGGGCGUCCUGCGGAGCACGCAGGGCCUGCAGGCGGAGGUGGACGCGCUGCGCGCCGCGCUCCUGGCCGGCGGCGGGCACGGCGCCGCGGCCGGGUGGCGCCGCUCGGCGGGCGCCAAGCGCGCCCCGGGCGCCGCCGGCGGGGCGGAGGCGCGCGCCGUGUGCGUCACGGGCGGCAUCUCCUUCGUCGGCUUCGCCGUGGUCGACCGCCUCCUCCGCCACGGCUACACCGUCCGCCUCGCGCUCGAGACGCAAGGUCAGCACUUCGCCUCCCUCGCCCCGCCACCUACCUACCCCCGGCCGCCGUUUUCCUUCCCCUUCGUCGCGCGCUCGGCCUGCCUUCGGCCGGGCCGCUGCCGCGCGGGUCCCGCCCCCGGCCACUGGUCGUGGGUUGCUCGCUCGCGCACCUCGGCGUUUGAAAAAUCGGGGGGAAUGCCCGUCGCUUUCGCCGCCCUGAAAGCGAUCGCGCGCGAGAAAGAGCCUCGAGCGCCCGUCCAUUGGUGGAUGCGAUGGAUCCACGCGCGCGCGAUUGACAGGAUUAGCAGCAGUGUCAUUUACCCCGCGGUCAAUAGGUACGGUAAACGCGAUGCGGGGAUGUAGGAUGUUCCUUCACUUCACGCGGCGGCGCCGGGAUCCAAACAUCACGUGCUUCGCCGUGCCAGGGGCAGGUGAAUUAUUCUCCGUUUCCUAUUAUCCCGCGUUUGAUAAAGACCUCGCCGCCACGAUUUGUGGCAGGCGGACAGGGACAGCGGCUUCUUGCGACGGCCUCUUCCGCCUCUUUUUUCCUUCUUCUUUCUGCACGAUGCUUGGCCACCAACUGCCGCGAGCGGGUUGUUCACUUUGAUGUGGCUCAUGAUACCCCCAGCACUAGCCUAUAUCGAAGCCUAAAUGGAGUUACUGUUCACUGGCUCCCGCUACUCUUGCUCAGUAUCUACUGUCUAGAUAGAACAGACGUGCCUUUUCCUUCCUUCCUUAUCUGUUUAGUAAAAACACUGAUGGUUGUUAUGAUGGCCACUUCCAGGCAUAGUACGGCUCUGUGGCGCAUGGUCUUCGCAGUAGUUGUUCCCAUUGGUCACCUCAACUGGACGAUCUGAUCAACUCGCCUACUGGAACGACCGAAAGAAACACGACGAAUGACGAUCGAGGAGCAGUUCAGCAUCGAUCUGACUUGCCCCCUAAUUCAAAAUGGACACGGCCUCCAGCCACGCUAGAAUCUAGUAUAGGAUAUUGCAACUUGAACCGUUGCACGGCAAGCACGGAGCCUUGGACUUUGACCCCUUAGAAACGGUCGGCGAUACUACAGCAUAAUAGGCCCAAUUUAUGCAGAGUUCUUCGCAGGUUAGUUAAUCUGCACGUUUUUGAGAUCGUCUCGCCAUCGUUGGAAGCCAGCAUGUAGCUACCGUCCGCAGUGUCGUGUGUGGCUGAUGCCGUUCCAUAGACCGUUUAUUUCCCCGCGCCUUGCCUUUCUGGCCAAUCAGCUGCUUUGGAAUCGAUGGACGCGGGUCGUCUGAAUCUCCUGUGAUUCUUGCGGUUGGUGCCCGUGGCUGAGUAACUGCUCGCAGUCCACAAAUCAAACACAAGCAGACCAACUAGACUGCUGUAUUUUCCACGGCUGCCCAUGUUUGUUUCCUCACGGAGACUUGACCGUAGAAUCCUCUGGGGGUCAACCGCAUCACGUUUAGUAUUCCCCACCUCCUGAUAGCCAUGACGAAUUGCUAGUUUUUUUUUACUGGUGCUCCUUUUGGCAAGACACCACCACCCAAUUUAACAACUCGUUAGUGGAGAAAUCGGUCCCCUCCACGUCUCCCCGCCGGAGCAAAUCUCUCUCGUGCGUAGGCUGGGUGCGUCACGCCGGCUUGCAGUGCAACAGAUUGCUGGCCAAGUAAAGCUGGAGCAGACUGAACCUUGGUGCGAGAAAAGCAGACAACCAUUUGACAAUGAAAAGGAGGGAUCGAACUUAGAGAAGUGGUGCCAUGGUGAACGGGUUUAGGUUACCGAAAGCCCCACCUCAACCUACAACUUUUCUUCGACGGGCCACCUGGAAAACUCAAUCGAUGUAGAGUCUUUCGAUGUAGUAGUGUCUUUCUGACGCCUGAUGCGUUCGUCGGCUAGCGGUUUGGUAUCUCAGGUUCCCUUCUUCUUCUUUUUUUGAGCAUCCAGGUUCCUCGUGGAUACGACCCCAAAGAUUAGGAUAGGCGAGCCAAAAAUAAAAAAUAAAUUAUUCCUAACAGAUCGUGGUUGAUAUUUAUCUCUGCUUGCUACUACUUACUACAGUUAUCACAGCCAAGCUGAUUGAGAUUUCCAUUAUUCGGUUUGUGACUGACAUGGACCGGUGGUGCCGUGCUUGUGCUGUGUUGGCAGAGGACAUGGACAAGCUGCGGGAGAUGGAGAUGUUCGGCGAGGACGGCAGGGACGGGGUGUGGACGGUGAUGGCCAACGUCAUGGACCCGGAGAGCCUCCGCUGCGCCUUCGACGGGUGCGCCGGCGUGUUCCACACCUCCGCCUUCGUGGACCCAGGGGGCAUCUCCGGCUACACGGUCAGUAGCACGGCCAACCUCUACUAGCAGUCAAAAUACGAAUGGGGUAGCUCCUCACAUCACUUUAGAAAAAAAAAAAAGAAGCACCAUGUGUGACACUUCACGUAAGUUUUUGCAUCUGCGCGUGACACGUAAGUCUCACAAACCAAGAUGGUUACGUGUGUUCUUUUUUUUUUGCUUCAUGAAAAUGAAGAGCGCUAAGGGCCUUUUAGCAGUAGGAUAGAAUAGGAAGUUUCUGAACUCGGAAGUCGUUAGAUAAAGUAAAGUAAAAAAAUUGACAAAAAGCGGGACACUGGGCUAGGGCAAGAAAGUACGAUGAUGGAGGUAAGACCAAGUCGCGAUUCGAGAUUUGGAGGGUGGUGCCGUGAUCGAGCUGGAAGAGAGGUUACGAUUGGCCCCUCGGCAGAACAGAGCAAGCACAAGUCAAGUGCCACUGCCGGUAACAACUACCGUACUAUUAAAUAAACCGGUUAAACCAGACAGUGAUUUUGACAGCAAACAACCUUUCUAGAACGAGAGAGAUGAUUGCGGGGCAACAGAGACAGGUUGCUCUCAUCAUUGAGGGGCCUUUUAGGGACGCUAGGACCACCCAAGUGUUGACGGAGGAGGAGUGAAGGACGAAGCUGAAACACGAGGGCACUGCAUUGCGCCGCGCCCCCCAUGUUCAUUUGCUCAGUGAAAGUGAGGCAACUAGACGUGGGUGGAGGCACGCACGCCUCAGGAAUCAGGAUCGGCCUUGCUGCGUGGUCCGGCCCGGCCCGCUGGGUUCGUGACAACACGUGUGUCAGCGAGAAGGGAGCCUGCAUCGCAGGGUAGCCUGACCCGGACACAUGAUGCUGCAAAUCUGCUGCGCCACAAACAUUUAAACUAAGGGUGUGUUCGUUUCACCACUUUAAAACCCGAAACAUCUAAACUUUAAAGGUCCGGCACCGAACACCUCUCUAAUUCGGCCUCUAAUAAGACUGCGAUUGUUUAGAGUAAGGGAACACUCUAAAAUUUUUAGAGGGCUCUAAUCGGAAACGAACACACCCUAAGGCCCUGUUCGUUUCCUCCUAUCUAAACUUUAGACCCAUCACAUCAAAGAGAAUCUUGCUAUUUAGAAGUACUAAAUAAAAUCUGUUUAUAAAACUUUUUGCACAGCUAGAUGCUAAUUCGCGAGACAAAUUUAAUGAGCCUAAUUAAUCCAUAAUUUACCACAGUGAUGCUACAGUAAUUGUUCGCUAAUCAUGGACUAAUAUACCUCAUUAGAUUCGUCUCGCGAAUUAGCACUAGGGUUCUGCAAUUAGUUUUGUAAUUAGACUUUAUUUAAUACUUCUAAAUGAUAAGAUUCUCUUUGAUGUGACCCCUCUAAAAUUUAGGUACCCGGAAACGAACACCCCCUAAGACCUGAUGCCUCUUUUUACAUAUAGUUUAGCCUUUGAGUGUGAAGAGAUGGAUUCCCUGCACCCACCUAGCCUACCACUGUAAUAGCAUGUGCCGAGCUGGCUGACCAGAAAAAAAAAAAGAAAAUCAGUACCUUCAGUAACCAACCCGUGACUUUGGAAGUACAGCUUCUGUUGAGGGUGCAAAAGCAAGGAUUGGUAGAAUAGGAUUGUCGGAAUAGGCUACACGAAAGAGUUCCUGAUGAUUCGGAUCUUCUCUGGCUGUAGUGGUGCAGCGUCCUGAACCCUUUGACAUUUUGGCGUUCGAACUGACCUGAAGGCAACACAGCCGACUAAUGAGGGAUCUCAAGUCCUACAGUGUAGCAGCUGGGAUGUACUAAGCAUCUAGAAGUGGUGUCUUAUUCCUGUCUUAGAUUCUUGAAUCUUGAAUUGCGCCUACCUAAUCCAACAGACGAAGAACGUAUAGCUUGUCCAACACUAACGACACUGGUGGCAGGUCCAUGCCUUCCAACUCGUUCACCUAAUCUAGCUAGCGCCUGAGAUCUCCUGCCCUUUGACACCUCCCAGGGCACAAGGUUUAUCUUCAGAUCUUUGAUUUCACAUUGCAACAAAAAGAGUUUGACAAUGCAACCACCAUCAGACCACACCACUCAGCAGCUUCGUACGCUGGGACCGUCAUGACGUCAAUGUAUCCUGCAACCACUCGCGGAUGGGUUUAUAGCACCGGAAAGUGAUCAGAAAACUCAAAAGUCGUAGGAGCCUCCCUCGCUGAAUGGGCUACUGCUGCGUGAAGUCGUUAGCCAGUUAGGAGUUUGGAGCAGCAGGUGCAGGUCCCUUAUCAGUUAUCACCCCAACUCCCCAACUAUCCAGAUUCCAGUCUGAAAGUGAGGACCCUAUGUGGCUAUGUUGAUUGGAGGCAACAAAUUCGGGAUUUCGGGAGGCGAUUCAGUGCUCACCUGCUCACCAGUACAGCAGCCUACAGUGAACAGACAGCCAAAGCAUCGCCGUCAUAUGUUGGGGUAGCUAGCUAACGGACCUCUACCAAACGGACCUCUACCAUUAGCACUCAUCGGAUCGUGGAUUCGACUCCUUGUAGGAGCGAAUUUCAAACUGAGGUCAAAAAAUCCCCCUCGCUGGUGCGGUCAUGGUUCAGAGGAUUUUCUCAACCACGAAGCGGUUGCUUCCUUUUUAAUGAAAAAUGGUUGGGCCGUCAUACUCCACCCGGUCGAGUUUUUCUUUUUUUACUAAAAUUGACCUGGACAGCCUUUGACUUGCAUGCUCGUAGUAAGUUCGGUAAAGAUCUUGAUUAGGUUGCUAAGCCACAGUCUUAGUCCUUUCUGUCAAUUGCCUAACGCACCUAGACCUCAUUUACGAUUUAUCUAUUGCGGACAAAGGCACUUGUUUCUUGAAUUUUAGCGGUGAAACUUUCUUCUUCUGUUAGCAAGAUAUAUUGAAUCAAAUUUUAGUAGUUACUGGAACAUUUAAAUGACAUACAGGCUGAAGUGAUUUGUUGUUAACAUGUGGAAAUGCCUGAUUUUGACAGAAACACAUGGCAAGGUUAGAGGCCCAAGCAGCGGAGCGGGUGAUCGAAGCGUGCGUGAGGACAGAGUCCGUCAGGAAAUGCGUCUUCACCUCUUCACUGCUGGCAUGCGUGUGGAGGCAGAACUACCCCCAUGACCGGCGGUUCCCCACCAUCAUCGAUGAGAACUGCUGGAGCGACGAGAGCUUCUGCCGCGACAACAAGGUGAGGCGUGAGGGGUUGCAAGAAAUCUUUGUACUAGAAGUCUCAGCUGGUGCCAGUUCCUCCAGGGUUGGGUGCUACUGAACUGCUGAAAGGCCCUCGCAACCUUGGAAACCUUUACCACCGAGGCACCGACCAAUAAAUAGUACUCUUGUUUUUUCUGUUGAAAAAAUGAACAAACUGACGAUGUGAUCCAUCGUUUCAGCUGUGGUUCGCACUUGGCAAGACGGCAGCGGAGAAGGCGGCGUGGAGGGCAGCCCGGGGGCGAGACCUGAAGCUGGUCACCAUCUGCCCCGGGCUCGUCACCGGCCCGGGGUUCCGCCGCCGCAACUCCACUGCGUCCAUCGCCUACCUCAAAGGUCCGUAUUGUGAAACGCACUAACUCGUAAGUAUGAUGCGUUGUUCACCAGUCAUCAUUCUGACCGACUCGCUUGACAUCUGGGCCGCAGGCGCUCGUGCCAUGCUCUCCGACGGCCUGCUCGCCACGGCGAACGUGGAGACGGUGGCGGAGGCGCACGUCCGCGCGUACGAGGCGAUGGGCGACAACACCGCGGGCGGGCGGUACAUCUGCUACGACCACGUGGUCCAGCGGCCCGAGGAGUUCGACGAGCUGGAGCGCCAGCUGGGGCUGCCGGGCGGCGCCGCGGCCGCGGCCGCGCGGGGCGCCGGCGACGACCGGCCGGCCAGGUUCGAGCUCUGCAAGCGGAAGCUGGCCAGGCUCAUGUCCUCCAGGAGGAGGUGCACGUACGACACCUACUACUCCGUCGCGUUUGAUUAGCCAAGGCUCUGUCUGCAAGCAGGGCUAGGCUGGCUGCUGAUGCAAAGUAUCAAGGCAGAUUUCCUGGGUUUGCCCUGACUGACGGGCGAUACCGCUGGUGCUACUGAUGAGCAACGAUCGCAGCAAGGGUUGGCUGCACCGACCUGCAUUCGGUGGUCCGUUUUGCUUGACGAGGGGAGCAAUAGCUAGAUUGCUAGAGCUCGUUGCUCUCAACUUUUCCUUGUGGAUAGGAAGGAGCAGAGAGCUCGGAUGAGAGUGUGUGCAAUGAUGUACUACUAGUGAGGCCAGGUGCAAUCUUGUACUGCGGCUAUCUUUCACCCACACGACCGCACAGCAAACUUUGUACAGGUCACUCACUGCCAAAAAAAACAGAUUGCACAACCAUGUACAGAGUGCGAUCUUGUGCAGAGUUCUGCUGCAGCAACGAAGGUGGGUCACCAGCGAGCCACACCAGGCAGCGCGCAUCCCAGCACCGUGCCCAGCCCAUGACCCGCACCAUCACAAAAUCCACACGCCGCGUCACGUCCUGCAAUCAAAGCUUGUGCAGGCCAUUGCCAAAAGAAAAACAGUUUGUACAGGAAGACAUUAGACAUGGCCAGCGCACGUGUCACUCAGGAGCAGCAUCGCCGUCCUUCUCGGGAUCGCCUCCUCCCCCGCCCACCACCGGCGCCGAGAAGGACAGCCGGCCGAACCCCCAGAGCCCGACCUGGUACAUGUCCGCCCACACCUCGUCCGACGCGUCCAUCCUGGAGCUCACCUUCGCCCUGGCCUCGGCGCCGCCAACCGCGUCCGCGCGGGCCAGCUCGCCCCACUCCUUGCUCCGCCGCGGGCCCUGCUGCUGCUUCUGCUGCUCGUCGUCGCCCAGGUCACGGACGCGCCACGCCCUCGCCUUCCGCAGGCGCCUGCGGGCGAGCCUGGCCGCGCACCGCCGGCCCGCCGCGUAGGGCGCCCUGACGAGCGCCAGCGUGAGGCAGCUGAGCACGGCGCACGGGCAGAGGCACAGCGCCACGCAGCUCGCCACCGCCGACGCGCUGCACGUCCCGCACGACUGCCUGCUGCACCGCGUCGCCACCCGGUCGUCCUCCUCCUGCUCGGCCGCCUCCGGCAGCGCGGGGAAGCGGUACGGGCGCGGCGGCGUCGCCAUUGCCCGCCUCCCGAUGAGCUACCGCGAGUAGGCUCGAAAGCUCGACCGCCGCUGGCUCCAAAGCUCUGGUGCCUGAGAAUAAUAAUCAUCAUCAAUAAGCCGGGUUGUGGGUGAUCAUCAGCGACCAAAUGGUUUUGUGGAUGAUACCGGACAACUUCGGGUCUCUGUUGCGUAGUAGGCAGUAUAGCCAAAGUUAAGGUGCGCACGUCAGGUCUUGUGGCACAUUCCAAACGGUGAUCAGACGGCUGCGAACCUCAUCGUCACCCGAGGCCUACUUUGAACACUACUGCAAAACGGACGCUUGACCUUACCACUAGUUCCUUCUAUAGGAAAUUUAUGGAAAUGGAAUUAGCUAGUGUUCAAAAUAGCAGUCCACUGUCUAACUGUACAUUUAUGUACUACGGCAGCAGGAUGGAUUCCUUGCUAGGAUGUAGUACUGGUACUGCUACAGAGCGGAGCAAUGGAAACGGUCUUGGAACAUCAUUGCCCCAAACUUUGAUCCCGUAAAUAGAACGUCAGCCGCGGCAUUGCAUUUUGUUGUGCAGACCUGCUGGAUCCGCUUACGAGUCUACGACGGCUGGCUCCAGCCUAUAAACACCACAAUGUCGAUGUCGCCAAAAAUAAAAAGAGAGGCAGGGAGACGACGCUAAUCCCCUAAAUCCGAAGUCAAACAGGCAAAAAUGAGUACGCUGAAGACUUGGAUUCACGAUACAUUUCCGAAGAUCGAACAUGGCGAGCAUGCCGUGUUUUUUUGCUGUUUCUUCUCUUUUCUUUUAAUGGUGAAAUAAUAAUCUGUCUCCUGGGCCUGGGAAAGGACGGGGGGCAACGGAUCGAUUGAAACGACGGCACCGCGGCCAUUUGGAAACGGCACGGGCGCUCUGAGAGCCUCUCUAGCGUUGCGGUUACCGAAGAAGAAACGCCAUAGUUAGGGUAAGCACGCACGAUCAGAGAAGCGCAGAAGAAGAAACGGACAGCGCGUACCCGGGGUUAAGGAAGGGGAAGCCGCUGAUCGGAAACGCCCUCGCUUCGCCGGCCGCGGCUCUCGCGAUCACGUCGGGCGUCGUAGAGGACGGCGCUGAUCGAGAGAUCCUGGAGGAACCACCGUGCCCGCCUGACGGCCACCAGCGGCCGGACGGUCCACACCGGAAGAGAGGGAGAGUGCAGUGUUGGUUGGAUGAUUGGCGCAAGGGGAUGAGGAUCGGAUGGGGGCGCCGCGGACGAGUAGGCCGUGUGGAAACUGGGGAGAUAAACAGGGGUUCUAUGGAUGAUCCGGGGGCGCCACUACUUCUGUUCCUCUCGCUGCCACCGUCGCCAUGUUUAUAGGGAGGUUGGACUCUUUCGUGUCAACUGAACAACUGUUCCCUCUUUUUUCUUCCCCCUUCUGAGCGGAACUGAACAGCUGCUGCUACUCCGGGUGUCCGGUAUAGCCUGGCCGGGCCGCUGUGCAAGUAUUGAUCGGUACCUCUCGUUCUUGCCCAGUCCGUCAUCUUAAGUUGGGUCAGGCCCAAAAACGGGGAAGUGAUGGGCUAAGGAUUGGGCUUGAGUUCUUUUGCAAGGAGAGCACCAAUCCUAUCGGCCCAACGUCAAUAUGCAUAUUUCGCGCAGCAUUCCACUAAACAAUUAGUACUGGCAUAUUUCGACAGCAUUCUUUUCUAAGACAGGUUGAACCUUUAUGUGUUCUACCACAAAAAAAACUUCAUGUGUUAUAAGGUCAUAACGGAAAUUUUUAGAUCGAAGCCACUCCCAGUCAUGGACCGACAAACCACCAGGCAAUAUCACAUAAGGGGAUCCACACAACCUAAACACAACAUUGAUUUUUGUUCUUGCACUUUGUCAUUGUCAAUAUAUGUAGCAAACUCUAAGUAUUAUGAGCAUCUUAAAAAGAUUGGGAGAAUAUAUUUUAAGAUUGAUAAGUUAUAGACACCUUACUAUUACGGGGCAUAUCAUCUCUUCUAAACAAUGUGUUGGUAAUUUCUCAAAUAGAUUGGGAAAAAUUCGAGCACUCAUAAUGAAUCGAGAUCUCAGACUCAACGAACUAGUUCCAAAUAAAUCUAACCAGCUUAAGGCUUAUUUAGGAAGGCUUAUUGCGGCUGUUGGGAUGCGCUCUAGGCCAUCACCUAAGUCUAGUGACCCCUUCGUGUAAAAAAGUCUAAGUUAGGUGUCUAAAGGCAUUUUUGUAAGAUCUAGGGACUUAGUUGCAGCAUUCAAGGACCGGUUUGUAAGUGAUAGGGACUUUUUUGUAAAUCCUGAGGAUCUACUUAUAAUAUUUGACCCCACCAAUGGAAUAAAUAUAAACAACCGCCUCCUCCUCCCUGUACUGUAAAUAGAGCCCUAGGGCUUGGAGGAGAGAACUUUUACCCAUUUACUUACUUGCUCAGUUGGCUUGCUCUACCUCUCACUCUAUCUCAUCUCUCAUUUGUUUGGGGUGCAACCCCAACAGAGGCGUCCACUAUGGUCUCAGCUCGAGUAAAUCGAUGGCACCACAGAGAACAAGUUGGCACAUUCUAUUUUUUUAGAGAGGUGAUAUUGAGAUAAAAAAAGGAACACUACUAAAAAAGAAAGGGUUUUUAGGGGCGGGUAAAAACGUAUUUUUAAGAGCCGGUGCGAUACUCGUCCCUGUUUCUCACAGCUAAAAAUAGCUACUAAAAAUAGCUAUUUGUAGGGGCAGGUUAGGGCGUGACCCGCCCCUACAAAUCAAUGUCCAGAAUAUAAAAAAUCAGAAAAAAUUAAAAAUAGCAAAAGAAAAAAGAAAAAAUAUCACCACCAACCAGCCACCACCCCUUAUUAUGGAGGUACAAUUUUUUGACAAAAUAUGCACACUUGCAUAAACUGGGGUUCGAACCGCUUACCUCAAGCCUCGCGCGUACCCUACUCUCCACCACACUGCACAUUUACUUGUGAUUCUAUAGGGUAUGCUAUUCUUUUCUAUUAACUCUGAAAUCGAUUUCUAGGGACGGGUCAUACCAUCACCCGCCUCUAAAAAUAUUUUUAUAUUUUAUUCCUAAAAUUCAUUUAAAUCUUUACAUAUAGCAAAAUAAAUAAAAAAUUAAAACUUCUACACCAUGGUUAUUAUGAACUAUGGAUAUAAGAAAAUAUACCAUGUAUAUUUCAGUGUAUACAAAGAUUAAGACUAUAGAAAUCUUAAAGUAUGACUUGAGUUGUAUGAGAUACUAUAUAGUUAUAUACGAACUUAUAAUAAUUUUUUGACUAUUAAAUGAUCUAAAUAAAAAUGUUAUCAACUACAAAGUUUUAGAUCACGUUAACCUCUAUAAUUUUGAUAUAAAGUUCAAUUUCAUCCGAGAUCAUAUGAAAAAAUUAUAAUUUUUUUCUAAGUUCAUCUGUAGAGGCGGGUCAUACCAUCACCUAUCCCUAAAAAUAAUUUUAGGGACGGGUGACGCCAUAACCCGUCCCUAGAAUUGGCCACCAUUUUAGGGGUGGGUGACACCAUCACCCGUCCCUGAAAAUGGUGACAUUUUUAGGGGCGGGUAACGCCAUCAGAUUAGAUGCUACAAUAACCGCGCUCUAUUUAUAGGAGUGGGUUACGUUUUGACCCGUCUCUGGAAAAAAGAGCAUUCCUACGCAUCGUUUUUUAUAGUGGAAUGUAUCACUUGCUGGAACUUGGAUAGAUAAGCAGAAUGGAAAAAGGAAAAAGAAAGUUCGGUCGAUGGUUACUAGCCAGUUGCAAAAGUUUAAACUCCACAGCAGGGCACCUUCGAUAGGAAAAGUGCAAUCGAUGGUUAAAUGCCGUAACCACACAUGAGCAGCAUACAUGCAAAGCCUCCAUGCAGCUUGUUGGCUUCGUACGUGACCUCCGCUGGCGCCGACGCAGCGGGCGCAGCUACAGUAGUACAGCAGCAGACUAGUAGCUUCGGCAGCUCACUCACGGAAGACAUCAAGCAGGCGGGCUAAUUGAAAGAACAGUAAAAACUCAUGAUGAAAUAUGCAUAUUGAUGGUCCUCAAAUAGUCCCGAAAGCUCAAAAUAUAUAGCUGAGCACCUUCGAUCAAAAAGAAAGAAGAAAAAGCACAGGCAAAAGAACACAUGCAACUUCAACAGACAAGCGCAUGGGUAACAAGCAAGAAAGACACAUCUCUCCCCCUAGCCAGCAGUUCCGGUAACAUGCAUGCGAAGCAUCCUAGAAUUAAGACAUCACCGUCCGUCACUCAUCAAAAGAAGCUCUCGAAGCUGAAACAGCUGCCUCGUCACCUUGCCGGUGCCGCGAAGUCACCGUAUCGCCGUGACGCACGCCAAAUUUACACCUUUGUUCAUACAUUUUCAAGGGCGGGCGGCCAAUAACCAAUCAAAUCAUCCAUGCGGAGCUCAGCUGCGAAGCUCACCUCGUUAGCAAAAGGACAGGCAAUAACGCCAAGGCUGAAGGUGCCGGGCCUUUCAAAAAAAAAAUAGAAAGAAGAAGAUCGAAGGUGCUAGGAAAGUUGGUAACCAUCAUUGUAAUCCCAGCGUCACCUCCGCUCAAUAGCACAUAUUUCCUCUUAGUGAUGCCUAGUAGAACAUAGCACGGGAAGCUGCAGCUUAGUGCAGUCUAAACACCAAUCGAAGGUAAUGCUCCACAUCUCCAUACAAAAUAUUUAAAUCUUGUCACCUCCGUUGUUCUUGCAAAGAAUGCAAAGCACAAAAGUUUAUAGAAGCAGUGGUCCAAGACAUGAAGCUAUUGUAAUCACCUCCGAGUGCAUGCAUCCACCUCCGGACGACACCGAGGCUAGCUGUCAGGCGACGCAGCAACAAGAGGCAGCCUCGCUCGUCACCUUCGGCCGGGCGGCGAAGCCGCAUGCAGCGAGGAGCCGCUCCGACGGUCCGGCAUCAAUGAACGCUCGGCAUUGAAGCUGUUGGGCAAUAAUAGCUCACCGUGGUUUUCGCACAAAAGAAAAAUCUCAUGACACCACCAAAAAAAAUGAGAUCGAAGCUUACAGCACUAAGCAUCCCAAUACUUAUAAGCAACCAGCACCUUCGUGUUGCCAUGUUCCAACCAAUCGAUGCUGCGGAAUGAGAUUAUUUACCUGGCCAUCAGCCCAUCACCAUCAAACCAAAGCUUCCCGCAUGUGUCAUCCGACAGCAACAACCAGAGCCCAGCAGCUUCGGCCCAAGUGGUUCGCCGAGGAGGCAAGGUCGCGGGGAGGCACGACCAUCUUUUUCAUGAGUGACCGAUGCUCAUCUCAACAUGCGCAGAGCAAGAACCAUCGCUUGCCAUUUUGCUCCUCUCACAAGAACCUUCGGUAAAAGAAAGUAGGUACAAGCAAAGCUGCUGCAACUUCGCAUUGCCACCUUCGCAUGUGGCACGCCAGCUGCUCGUCACCUUCGCUCGAAGCAGACCACAAGCUUUUCAUUGCAAUCUUCGAUCAUUCAUUUCGAAGCGAUGCAAGAAGCCACGGCCACAAAAGCUAAAGUAAAAGCAAAAUCAAGGUAAGAGUACAAGCACCAUCGAGGCUUAUUUCACCACCCGGAGUCGAGCAAUACUAGCUACAGAGGUCAUUGCCUUUUUGGUAUUAUUGACCUCUGGAGAAGGUUAUAAUUUUCGGGGGCCAUGACGAAGGUUAUUGGCUUGCUGACUCUUUAUCACUAAUGAUGAUUUUAAAAAAGCCAUGAUUCAUUGAGAAGGUCAUGACAAGGUUUGGAUUUAGUUUUCUACCUUGCUUACAAGACAAUUAUUCAAAGUAAAUAUUCAUCUUAUUUAUUGAAAUUUUCUCUCACUAACCUCUAUUUUGCAGGGUGUAUCUUUAAAGAACUUCGCUUAUUAUUUAUCUGUAUUUGCAUAUUAAAAGCUCUCUAAGCUUAUAAUUCUCCAACUAAGUUUGUUCUACAUAGUGAAAUAUACUCACUAACCCCUCUCUUGAGGAUAAUUUGUCUUCCAAAAAUACAGAAUUAUCAUACUUGCUUUUGGGAGAAAGUUAUCACCUUAUGGGCUUUCUACCCUUAUUGACUUCUAGAGAAGGUCAGAGCAUUUGGAGAAGGUUAAAACGAGGGUUAUCACCUUUUUAGUUUUCUACCUUCAUUGAUCCAGAGAAGGUCAGAGCUUUUGGAGAAAAUUAUAACGAAGAGAAGGUCGCGGCUUUUGUAGAAGGUUAUAACGAAGACAAGGUUGGUACGAAGGUCCCUUACUUAAUUGGCUUUUCUUAGUUAUGGAUGCGGGCUCUCUUCGAAUAAAGAACCUUCAAAAGAAAAGAAUAUAUUUCAAAAAUUGAGGUUAGAAUAUAUUUCGGAAAUUGAGGUUAGAAGGUCCUUGAGGGACCAAGUCAUUUAAAAGCAUUGCUCACUAAUCUUAGAUCGUUGUUUCUUCAAAUUAAGAACCUCUGCAAGCAAAGAAUAUGCUAGAGAACUCUAAGCAAAACAUCCCGAAGGUACCACAUCUAGAGAUAGUUAUCUACCUUGCGAUGCUUAACUGCUUUUGUCUAAGUGUUUCAGCUUAUCUCGGGUCGAAACAACAAAGAGUUGCAAACAUCGACCAUAGCAUCUUGAAUGCUCCAAUUGUGUAAGUUAGCAAAGUUCGUAUGCCUCGCAAACUUUGCAUACUUAUCUAAAGGUGCAAAAGCACUUGAAUGGCGAGGGGCUUCCAGAUCUAAGGGUCUUGAAGCCAAAAUAACUUAUGACCUCUAAUCCAGACUUCACCCAAAACACCCAAAACACUCGGACAGAGAAGCUAUUUUUGAAAGUUAUACAUUUCUUAUAUAAUGAAAUUUUCCUUCACUAACAUGCAGGUUUUCUUCAAGGUAAGCACUCCUUCUCCACCUUAGGAUAACCUCUUUAUGCUAGACCUUCAUAUUUAUUUCACAGGAAUGUUGGUUUUCAUCCAAAACCUAAGUGCUCGAUACAUUGGUUUCCACAGUAUAUGGGUUUUCAUCGAGAGAUAUCUCUUAUUGACCUCCGGCUCUUACUGGCUAUUGGAUUGGUUUCUUUUCGUGGUUAUCUGUCAUUGACUUCCAUUAUAAUGAUAUUCAUAAACAGUUAGAUUCCACCUUAACAAUGGCAAUUCAUCCGCUCUAGUAUUCAAGAGCACUGUCUUAACCUUCGGUCCUUCGGUCCUUAUCAGCUUCAAGAAUCUGGAAUUGGCAAACCUUACCAUAUCCUUGCAAAUGCAUCCAUCUCCAUUCAUAUGCAUCAAAAGCAUACGUCAAAUCAUCUCAUCGCAUGAACACAUCAUCAUGCAUGGCAAAAAGGAAUAGCUCCGAGGAGCUAAGAAGCUUCCGACCUCAAAAGAAAGCCAAGGAGCUAUCAAUCCUAAGGGAUGCGAAGCCAAAAUACCUUCGGCUAAGAAAAAGAAAAGUGCAACAAGCACAAAAAAGUUAAGGCGCUAUCGAUCCUAAGGGAUACGAAGCCGAAACACCUUCGGCUAAGAAAAAGAAAAGUGCAAUAAGCACAAAGAAAAGGGCAAGGGGCUAUCGAUCCUAAGGGAUAUGAAGCCAAAACACUAUCGACCAACAAAAAGAAAAGUGCAAAAAGCACUUGUGUUUAUGGAUAACUUCAAGAAAUGGUCACCCGAACCAUUCUACACCCGUUGCAAACAUAUCACCUUUUUCAGGUACAAAUUGUCGAAUCAACUUCACCUAAGUUGUAGAUUUGACAAAGCCUGGCACUCAAAGUUUCAUCCCCGCCACUACUUCGGUUCGAGGGGCUCACUGUCACCCUCAGCAUCGUCAACGAUUACGCCUCGACCGAUACUCCGGCUCGAGGGGCUCGCCAUCACCUUCGGCAUCAUCAACGACUCCGCCUCGGCCGAUACUCCGGCUCGAGGGGCUCGCCGUCACCUUCGGCAUCAUCAACGACUCCGCCUCGGCCGAUACUCCGGCUCGAGGGGCUCGCCGUCACCUUCAGCAUCGUCAACGACUCCGCCUUGGCCGAUACUCCAGCUUGAGGGGCUCGCCGUCACCUUCGUCAUCAUCAACGACUCUGCAUCGGCCGAUACUCUGGCUCGAGGAGCUCGCCGUCACCUUCGGCUUCAACUCUGACGUCGCCUCGCCGCUACUACGGCUUGUGGGUCUUGCCGGGACCUUCGGCUUCGCCUCCGACAUCGCCCUCGCCACUACUUCGGCUUGAGAGGCUCACCGGGACCUUCGGCUUCAACUCCGACGUCUCUCUCACUCGCUGUUACUUUGGCUCAAAGGGCUCGCCAACUCAUCAUCACCUUCAACUGCUCGGGUGCAUGACAACUGCAACACCUUCGACCACUACUACAACUACUUCAACUUUUAUGUUAUCUGCGUCGACUACUUCCAUUACAUGCAAAGCUCAUCUCACAAACACUAGCCAAGAGGGGCUGGAGGUGCACCGGAGGACCAACCCUUCCUAGAUGACGGAGUCUUGUCCGGUGCUUGUGAGAAAAGACUUGAAGACGUUGCGGCUACCUUCGGCCAUGAGUUCUCCGACUACAUCACUGGUUGCGGCUACCUUCGACCACGACUACUCCGACUACAUCGGAAGACGAGCCACUCACUGAUAGAAGCUCAAGGGCGAAGCUGCCUGCAAAAUCGAAGUUCUUUAGGAUCUAAAGUUGGCAUUUGUGCGUGUAAAUCAAAAUAUGUGCGUGCUCUUUUCUCCAUGCCCUUUUUCGCACUGGGUUUUUAGGAUGGAAUUUUUAGUGUGGCGCACAUAUCUAGGUUGCACAGGACAUUCCUUGCAACCGGGGUCCGGAUUGUGGAUAUGCGUCUUUUAACAGGGUCAGCUACUCGGUCUCGUUGUACCAGCCAAGACCGAAUAGCUGAGGGGCUACUGUUGGGGAUGCGCCUUAUGCCACCUUAGGUACCUAAGGCUACGGACCCUCUUCGUGUAAAAGAGGCUAAGUUAGGGGUCUAAGGGCAGGUUCGUAAGGUCCAGAGACUUAGUUGCAGCAUCCAGGGGCCGGUUUGUAAGUUAUAGGGACUCCUUGGUAAAUUCUGGGGACUUAUUUAUAAUAUUUGACCCCACCAAUAGAAUAAAUAUAAACAACCGUCUGCUCCUCACUAUAAAUAAAGCCCUAGGGUUUGGAGAAGAGUACUUUUGCCCAUUUGCUUAUUUGCCCAUUUGGCUUGCUCUUCCUCUCACUCUAUCUCAUCUCUUGUCUGUUCAGUCUGUUCAGGGUGCAACCCUGACAGCGGCUUCGGUUUCACUUAUUUUGCGUAAAUUGACAUACCGUAGCGUGAAGCCGUUUCAUAACGGGCUAAAAUUGAACUAGGAGCUGAGUAAACCUAAUUUUCUUUCCUUUACUUCACCGGCUUUAACUUCACUAGUAAAAUCGUUAGAAAAAGUCCUUCCAAACGGCCUCUUAGUGAACCUCACUCUUCAAAAGAGAAUGGAUUGAUUAUAGUUUAAUAUUUUUGGACUACCCAGUGUUAGAAUAGUAUAAGGAAGAGAUCAAGAGAGUUAGCCAUCAUGAACGUUGGAUACAACCUAGGCAGCUGGCUCCAAACUCUCCAAACAACUCAACGAAAUACUUUUCCUUUUCACACGAUGGCACGAACUUUACGACUCUAGUCAGUGACUAGUAACCAUAUUCAGAUUCGUAUACGCCACUGAAUCCCAACCUUCCACUUUCGACGUGCUUCCACCAAUCAGACAUUGGUGAGGCCCCUGCGAGCCAUCAGCUCGUCCAUCAGCCGCCCGACGUCAUCGUACGAGGACCCGCCCUUCUCCACGGCGCGCCUGGCCUUCUCCCCGAGCACCCUGGCCCUCUCCCUUAUCGCCUCCGCCUCCUCGCCGUCGCCCAUCACCCUCCCGAUGGCCUCGGCGACCACAUCGCCGCCGAUCACGCGCCGGGCCUCCAACUUCGAUGCGUAGUCCGUGGACCCGACCCCGACCCCGACCUUGAGCAGCUCCACGACCAGCUUCUCGUUGUAGAACUGGUCGGCGUACCGCGGCCACGUCACCAUCGGCACGCCGGCGCUCACGGCCUCCAGCGUCGAGUUCCACCCGCAGUGCGUCACGAAGCCGCCCACGGCGGCGUGGUUCAGGAUCAGCAUCUGCGGCGCCCAGCCCCGGAUGACGAGCCCACGCUCGCCGCGCGCCAGCAGCUCCGCGAACCUGUCGGGCAUCCAUUCCGACUCCUCGGUGUCCGCGCCGCCGACGACCCAGACGAAGUUCUUGCCGGACAGGUCGAGGCCGCGCGCGAGCUCGCGCAGCUCGGGCGGCGAGAAACGGGACAGCGUGCCGAAAGACACGUACGCCACCGAGCCGGCCGGCUUCGUGUCGAGCCACCGCAGGCAGCCGUCCGCGUCGGGCGAGAGCGCGUCGUCGGUGCCCCUCGUCGCCACGUCCUUGCUGGCGAACGCGACCGGCCCGACGAGCCACGCGCGGCGGCCGAGCGUCGUGGUGUAGUGCUCCAGGUAGUCCGGCUCCAGCUCAUGGAAGCUGUUGAACACCUCGCCGUAGCUCCUCUGGUCCGCGGCGUUCACGCGCUGGAGGAAGGCCCAGCGGUCCGGCAUCUUCUUGGGCUCCAUCAUCUGGCUGCGCCUCAUCUCGACGCGGUGCGGCAGCCCCGGGAGCAGCACGGGCGCUUCGGGGUCCUCGGGGGCGGCCUCCACGGGGUUGUGGCGCACCGUGCAGUCGCUGCAGGCCCGCGCGAACAAGCUGGUGCCGAGGAACCCCAGCCGCGGGACGCCGUGCUCCGCCGCGGCGUCCACGGACCAGUCGAAGAAGCUGUCGGACACGACGGCGUCGGUGCGGUUCUCCGCCAGGAACCGGUCGAAGGGCUCCCGAAGCAGCUGGAUCGCCUGGAAGAACUUGUCGCGGUCGGCCUCGGAGUUGAGGGCCGGCCCGGACUCGACGCCGGGGGGCAGCCCGACGUCCGGGAAGGGCACGACGGCGAUGUCGAUGGCCAGGGCGCUCUCGGCGCCGCGGGAGGCGUCGUUGGCGCGGUCCACCGCCGAGCGGAUGACCGCGGCGUUCCCGGGGGUGGUGAGGAUGGUGCACCUGACGCCGCGGGCGGCGAAGAGCGCGGCCAUGUCGGCGGCCGGGAUGAGGUGCCCCGGCGCCAGGAACGGGAAGAAGAGGAUGCGCAGCGGCCGCUCCUCAUCUUCGAUCGCCAUGGCUGGCCGCGAGCCGGCGCCCCGGCGCUGUAGGGAACAGAUCAGGUGGACCCACGCUGCGCACUCUUUUUGCAUGGAUGAAUGGAUUUAUAGGCUCCAGAUGAUUUGGGUCUUAAGUGUUUCUCUACUUCGUGCCGGGAGCCGUCGAGGAAGAGCACUAGUAGCCAUCUCUGACUUGGUGAUGACCUCCAAUAGUUAAAUUUUUCCAGUCGCUUGGAUUGCCCUCCAAGUGUGUAGCUUCACCAGCAAGAAUUUGAACAGAAAAUUGUGGCUCGUGUCUGACAGGUAACUGCCGCCACUAGCAGGUUUCCAAGCAAACUGUCUCUGGAAGUGGUAAAAUUGUAUAGUGCGACCUGCGACGCCAUUCGUAGAGAGUUUGCCUCGUUUACUUUGCUUCAGCUGCGGCGACAAGAUUCGCAGUAGAACCGACGUCUCGACGCUGGAAAUCGGGGACGCGCGAUCUCUCAAAACGUGCCCGUGUGGUUCGUCAUCGCUUACGUAACGUAUCGCGGAUCUUGGAUGUUCCCGCUGGGUCACCUGUCUGUACGUACGUGUCCCCUCGUGACUUGUAAAAACUGCACAUCGGGCCAUCGGGGGCGUUUCAUAUCAACCUAGAAAGUAGCCAGGCGGUACGAAUUUGUAAACUUAGAAAUUAUAUCUAGGGAAUUUCAAAAUUCUUGAAAAAAAAACUCUCCAUAGAUAAAGUUGAACAUUAUGGUUCCAUAUAAAACUUUAACUCCAAACUCAGUCUGAUUCACUAGUAGAUAUAGAAAUAACAAAUUUGGACAUCUCUAAGAAAUUAUGCAUUUUGCACCUAUUUUUCAACAAAAGUAUCUGACAUUUGUUAUUUUUCGUAGCUGAGAUAUGAGCAAGUUUAGAGUCGAGUUCUUUUUAUGGAAGCAUAAUUGAACCUCAAAUAUGUAUUGUGAUUUUUCAUUUCGUGAAAAUCUGUCACGUAUGUCUUUUAGUUUUCAACACUUUUUUCACCUUAAAUGCAUGCUUUCAUGCCUGCCGCAUGAGCCAUUCUGAUUGGAGGAGCAAAACUGCCUAAAAUUUUUGUAAUCGUUGCAUCCAGCGUCAUAUUUUAUUAAUUUGAGUACUAGUAUUGACUACUUAGAGUGUUACAUCCAUAUAAAAUACUAGAAGCUAACGGUUGAAGUAUGUCAUUUUAAUUAAAAAUAUAUAUUCAGGCGCACAUAAUCGCCACACAUCGCACUCCCACGCACAUCAUUUCGAGCACAUAAUAUCCCGCUCGAUCAAAUCAAGAAAAGAAUGGUUUAAUCCGACGCAUACAUUCCAGAAAAAUGUCCGGAAAAGAAAUGGAGAAGCCAUUUUACACUUUGCGGUCUAUGGCGUCCAAUCUGCACCCAGCCCACCCAGGGACUUCCGUGGGCCUUGAAGAGAAAGAUGCCGAUCCGGCCAGUUCAGCUCCACAGGCCCACCCACCAGAUACUGGGCUGGCAAAUACUAUGUGUUUCGGUACUCCCGCUCCAAGAAGGUGCGGUCGUUUCCAAAGUUAGAAGUUUGGCACGGCUCCGUGAAGAGUUUUAUCACCGACUGCUUCAGAAGCUGUACCAAAUGGCUGCGGCUCCGAACAGCUUCAAGAACCGUUUUCUAAUAAAAAUAGUGGAGCCGGAGCUAUUUCGGAGGAACCAUAAUUUGUAGCUCCUCUAAAAUUGUGGCUCCUCCAAAUCGGCUCCAGCUCAUCCAGA